rnacentral:lncRNA from 1 species
AAAGCUAAUGGACAGGAUUUCAUAAAUGAAGUUGCUACUAUAGGAAGGAUUCACCAUACUAACGUGGUGCAGCUAAUUGGUUUUUGCGCUGAAGGAUCAAAGCGAGCUCUUGUAUAUGAUUUCAUGCCUAAUGGAUCUCUUGACAGACACUUGUUUUCUCGAGAAGGAUCAAUCUCUUUAAGCUGGAAAAACUGCAUCAGAUUUCCCUUGGAGUGGCUCGUGGUAUCGACUAUCUUCAUUUAGGCUGUGACAUGCAAAUACUUCAUUUUGAUAUCAAACCUCACAAUAUUCUUCUCAACGAAAAUUUCACUCCAAAAGUUUCUGACUUCGGGCUUGCUAGGUUGUACCCAACGAAUGGCAGCAUCACAUCUCUUACUGCAGCAAGGGGCACCAUAGGAUACAUGGCUCCUGAAUUGUUCUACAAAAACAUUGGACGUGUCUCCUAUAAAGCUGAUGUUUAUAGCUUCGGAAUGCUGCUAUUGGAAAUGGCAGGCAAAAGGAAGAAUGUAAACGCAUUGGCAGAAAAUUCAAGUCAAAUCUACUGGCCAUAUUGGGUUCAUGACCAAGUAUCUGAUGGAAAGGCCAUAGAAAUCGGAGACGAUGCCACGGAGGAAGAACGUAAGAUCAUCAAGAAGAUGAUUAUGGUUGGAUUGUGGUGUAUACAAAUGAAACCCAUGGAUCGGCCUACAAUGAAGAAUGUUGUGGAGAUGCUUGAAGGAGAUUUGGAAAACUUGCAAUUGCCUCCUAAGCCUGUCUUCAAUCUAGAUGUGACGCCACCAAACAUUGAAGGAGAGUCAUCAUCGUUGACAGGUUAUUCUACCGAAUCAACCAGUUUGGUUGAAAUGAAUACUAAGUGAUAUGAUGUGGAAUGCUCUGCUUACAUGCAGGGAAAAUGAUAGAAUAAUGGUGCUUUCGGACUUGGUUGCGAUGAUUUAGUCUGCAAACAUUAUGAUAAUUUGCAAUAUUUCCUUUUAUCUGAUUUGUGUUUAGCUAAUUUAGAGUUCAAGCUGCGGCUUUUUUCUUCUGUGUGGUCUAUAUAAUCAUCAUACAAAGAUGUUCUGUACUGUGUUUAACUAUCAGAUUUGCACUCUGUUUGGCAAUCAUAGCAGUUGGCGAGGAUGGAACAUCCUCCAUGAUAACUGUUAAUUACAUGUUCUACAUAUUAAUUAUCGGAUUUGUCUCCAGCAAGAGUAAUAUUUUGGCUACAAAUUAACAAGAGACUGUCAUAGGGAUUAUAUAAACAAGUUGAUGCAUGAAAAGACGAGUCUCUGUUUAUAGGUAGCCACUACAAGUAGCUUCGGAGACCACAAAUACAAGGCAAGUCUCUCUAGUAAUCCUUCCACUACAAGUAGCUUCGGAGAUAGAAAAUAGCGAUUUAUUUGCUAUCAUAGGGAUGAUUCUGAACAAAGCGGCUUAAUUUCAUUUUCUUCCACCAACAAUGCCUUCGUGUCAAUGUUCAGCCCCAUGAUAAUCGAUCUAGGUCACCAUUUGCACAUUACCAUAUCUUGCAUAAGCCACGAGGAACCAAUCACAACAAAACAGGAUUGAAAACCAUGACCAUAACGGGUGCUGUGAAAUGAAUAUUGAAACAGAUGGGUGAAUUUGAUGCAGAAAUCUUCUCUUUCUCCAAAAAAGGAAAAAACGAAAAGUAGAGAGGAGACAAUGAAGCCUGCUUACCGGUCAUGGCAUUUCACCAGGGAGGCAAGGUCUUCAAAAAUGCUCAACUGUGUUCAACAACCUUUCAGGAUCUGCUUCAAUUUUCCUAAGAGAAUGGGGAACAGUGAACGGGAUCCUCGUUAGCUGCGGGCAAUCACCCACAGUAAUUUCCUCAAGAGAAUUGCAUAGAAGUCUUCCAGAAUAAAUGCUAUUGAAAUUUGGUAAUUUCUUCAAUACCAAAACCCUCAAUGUCUACUAUCCUCUGAUGGGUUCUCCCCUCUUCAUCAGUUCCCACAAUCUCCGAUCACUUGCAAUUGCAGUCUAGACAUUCUUCGACUCCGAUCACUUGCAAUUGCAGUCUAGACAACAACCAAGGAGGGAGUAGCACCUUCAUCCUAUGACAUUUGUGUAUCAUGAUCUCUCUAAGUUUGCAAAAGACACCACAGUAACCUUGCAAGCAAUUAGUGAAAUGUUAACCUAAUUUUUAACUCUUUUACUUUUACUUUUACUUUUAUUUUUAUUUUCAUUAUAUUUUCUAAAAAAUAAAAAUAAUGAUGAAAAAAACUGAAAAAGAAUUGUAAAAAAUAAAAAUAAUAAUAAUAAAAAAUAAAACCAAUGAAGAAUGAAUUUAAAUUUGGAUUAAGGAAACAUAAUUGGAAGUUUGGAGAUUUAAUUAAACUUUGGAUUAGUUUAAUUAACCAAAUCAAAGGUUUAAUUGAAGAAUUGAUAAGUUUGGGUACUUAAUUGAACUUGAGAUUAGUUUAAUUAAUGAAAUCAAGGGCUUAAUUGAAACAAUGCCAAAGUUGAGGGCUGCAUUGGGCUACAAUUGCAAGACAAUAAAAUCAGAGGACCAUGUUGUGAAUUCUCUGCAAUUAAGGAGUCAAGUUACAAUUUACCCAGGAGCUUGAUUACAAAACUGCUGGACUUCAGUGACCACACUGAAGAUGGCCAUUUGCAUCCCAAAAACGGUGCCGUUUCAGGAUGCACUAUUCAUCUUCUUCAUCUUACCAUUAAGGAAAAAAACGGACGCCAGCUGCCCGCGAUCGCCAUUACUCCAGCAUUAGCAACGGUUGGUCCCCUCGUUAUUUGGAGGCGACCGCAUGGCAUUCUCUGGCUUUAUAUAAAAGCCAGAGAAAGGUCACGGGGGGAGGGGGAACAGAGGGAAAUACCAGAAGAAAAAAAAAGCAUACAAAGGGGGGACGAACAGAAAAACAGGGGAGGACGCAUGAGAGAGAGAGACCGAGAGAGGGGGGAAGACGAAAAAAACAGAAGAGAACACAGACCGGAAUACCAGAGGUGAAGGAAAAAAAAAGGAGGAGAAAGGAACCGACAAAGGAGGGGGAGGGGAAGAAAAAAAAACCAGGAAAAACAAGGAGGAUGAACUGAGGACGAACAGAGGAGACACACCAGAGAAAGACAAAGAAAAAGGAAGACUAAAACAGAGAGGAGGAGAGAGCAAAAAGACAGUGUUCCCAGCUUUUCCUUCGUCCCCAGAAUGCAAGCAAAGUGAACAAACGAAAACAGAGAAACUACGAGCAUUGAUCAGCCUGGGCAUUCGUCUCCAGCACCACUCCGAACCAUCAGAAACAAAGGAAGAAACCCAGAAAAAAAUAACAGCAGAUAAAGAAGAACGACCCAAAAUCAGUCAAAAAAAAAACCCACAGAAAGCCGGCAUCAUCAUCAUCUUCUUAGUUCCUUCAUCUCAAGAACCGAGAAACGAACGACCACAAAAAACACCAGAGAAGACAGUGGGCACAGAAGGAAGACAAAGGAAAGCAGAAGGAAAGGACAUAAGCAAACGAGAGUCAUCACCAGCAUUGCAACCAUCUUCGUCGUCUCCAGAAGCAGGUACGCCCAUUCUCUUUUCAUUCUUUGUAUUCUUGGAAGUGUUAUUUGAACACUGUGCGAAGGUAAUGAACUUCACGUGCCUCUUGUUUUGGGCCACACACAUUUUUAUAUUAUAAAAUUCCAAAAAUCCUUGUGCAUGUUUUAAAUUUAUUUGUAGAUCCCUAUAUUUUUCACUAUAUAAUUAAUUUAUGUAUUUUUACUGUAAAAUGUAAAUCCAGUAUAAAAUAUUUUUUUAAAAUAAAAAAAUAUACAUACAUUGAUUUAAAUUUAUUUUUAUCAUUGACAUCAGAGUAAGGAAUAUCAUACGUUUUGUUUUUUGGCUAUAUAAUAUUUACCAACGUCAAAAUUAGAAAUAUUCAUAAUUGAAUAUUCACAUACGCUACAAUCAAAAAUAUUAUAAACAAAUUAUCAUAGCAUAAACCAACAAACUUUUAGCAAUUUAAGACACAAAACCAGUAAUGUAGUUUGUCACGGAUGGAAUGUUUAAGGAUGAUAAUAUCUUUUUCACAUAACCAAUGUCGUACAAUAUAAUCUUUAUUGAUUAGUUAGGAUUUCUAAUAACCAUAAUACUAGAAGUAUGUAACUUCUUAAACAAGACUUUUUUCAUUCCAAGAACAAAAAAUAUGUUCUUUUCAAUUCAAUUUUUUUUUAAGAGUUUGUUCUUUUCAAUUUAAUUUUUUUAAUGCUGCCACGAUGUGAGAUGAGACACGUUAAAAUUGGAAAAUUUCAAACUCUAUUAGAUAAUGGAAGUUACAUUUCAAUGUUUCCAACUUCUCCAAUGCCGUAAGCUUUGCUAAUGAUGGUACAUAACUCAGCUUUGCACACCAUCCCAGCAACAAUACAGUUAGACUUACCAGAUGAGAAAUAGAAUCUGGCAAGCGCUCUAUGUUUGCCUCCGACAGAUCAAGAACCUCGAGUCUUUUGAAUUGCUGGAAAAAAGGCUACUGUGGAGAAACUCAACCAAUUUCAAUUCGUAGUUUCUGCAUAACAAUAAUGUUGACCUAUCCUUGAUUCUAUUUUCCAUGAGAGAAACUCUUGAUAGAUCCUCUCUCCACCAUCUUACAUCAGGUAACUCUGUUAAUUGGGCACCUACUUUAACCAUAGCCCUUGAACUUUCUUUCAUUAUUUUCACAGCCAUAUCCCUAAUCAAACCAUGCAUCUUGACAUAUCUGUACUUUUCAUCAUCCUUGGAACCUUGUAAUAAGCUAGCAUUUUCAAGUUGAUUAAGCAUGGGUUGCCCCUAUCAAAUUGUGCUUGCCUGCUCAAUCAGAUUGUGCUAGCAUUUUCAAGUUGAUUAAACUUUCCAUUUCUUCAACUAUACCAUCAUCAAUCAAAUACUCAAUCAGGUCUUCAUGUCUUUUGGAAACAAUGCACAGUAUAAGCACUCUUUCAUUGCUUUAUUUUUUAACCAAACAUAACUAUAUUUCAAUAUCCGAAACACAUCGGUUUCCAUGUCACAUGUUCCAAUUUCUGAACUUGCCAGUUCCCGCACUUCUCCACUGAGAUACAUCAUCCACUCCCUUCAUGCUUCCAGCCCUUGUCAUGAUUCUGAGAGCCAAACCAGAUUAGUACUUCUUCACAAUAGACUCUGCAAUCUGUUUCGUUGUAGGAGAAAGUGCAAUACCAUUCCCUAAUUUGUCUAUGAACAAAUUCCAAGCUUCACCCUCAGAAAUAGGCUCCACUUUGAUUAUCCUUUCACAAUCCAUUCUAUUACAUAUGCCCAAUGAUCUAGUUGUGAGAAUCAAUUUACGCCCAUUUGUUCUACGAGAUAUUCCCACUUUCUCAGGAUGAAAAUCAUCCCACAAAUCAUCAAGAAUGAUAACAUGGUUUUGUAUCACACUCAUUGUUGUCCAUAGCUUCCCAGCUCUACUCGUCACAUCUUUUUCCUUUCGGAAGACAUAAACCAAAAGCUUCGGCAAUGAGAUCCUGCAAUGCAUGAAUGCUAAAUUCUUGUGACAUAGUAAUCCUGUUGGGAUAUUGCCGCUUAUGUUGCAACAUCUGCAGCCCAUCUUCUAGAAGAAGAUGGAUGUCAUUAUUAAAGAAAAAAGGCUAGUUUGUGAGAGUCAAAAAGAGUUGCUGGUACAACAAUCAAAAGUCAUAAAGUAAGUAAAUGUUAGGUAGUCAUCAUUGUUGACAAAUGAGUAAGAGAAGCUACCAUUAAAGCCUAUAAAUAAAGGCAUCACUUGAAGAGCAAAAGGUGAGAGUUGAGAGAGUGUGAAGAGAAGAGAGGAAAAGAAAAAGAGGAGUGGCUACCAAGGACAGCAGUCCUGCUACCAUGUGCAGCAGUGUCGGAGAGCAAUGGAAGUUUAGUAAGAGUUUGAGUGAAGUGAACCUCCUCCUCCAUGUUUUUUGUAACCAUUUCUCUAUCUCUAAUAAUAUUGGUUCUUUUCCUGUGGAUGUAGGCAGUUUGCCGAACCACGUUAAAUAUUAUGUCAGUAUACUUAGCCUCUAAUGGACAACUAUCAGUAUAUCACUGGUCGGAAUCCCCAACAAAUCCAACAAACAUGAAAAAAAAUGCUUGGUUUCUCUUGAAGCUGAUUAUAGAUAUGUGCAUCUAAAGUUGUCUUUCUCACUCCCCCAUCCCGUACAUGCCAAUGCAUGAGACCUCACCUCACCAUUCAACAACCAAUACCAGACAUCCUUCAUAUUUCUUUCAAUAGCUUGACCCACUAGCUUCGUUGUCGGGAAUACAUAUCUUUUAGUCCUACGUCGCUUAUGUACAGGCCUUUUAGAAUAGCUUACCGUGUAAUUUCUCAAGUCAUGUUCUCUAUAUAAAUUCUUAACAAAACAUCCCUCGUUGAUGAGGAUGAGACGUUAUUCAAGAUCAUUUCAAAUGCCUGGCAUGUUUUCUUUGUUCUCUGUCUAGUCUCGGGUUCAUCUGGCAUAAGUACAACAUGAGCUCUAGGUUCCUCAACAAUCCCAAUCUCCCCCCUGAUCCAGAUAUCCAUCCAUCCUAGGCUCUCAUAAAAAAGAGGAGGUUCUUCUUGUUCCAUUUCUAAACACCGCCCAGGAGUUGAAGCUGCAUUAAUUGCCUCGUUAUUGCUUGAACUUGGCACGCUCUUAUCUACAGGCCUGUUAGAAGUGUUAGAAAUAACACUCUUAUGAAGCUCACAUGAUUGAUGGAAAUUGCAUAAUCUUAUUUGAUAAACGAGUGCUGCUUAAAUACAGCUUCUUACAAACAGAAAUGAGAAAAACUAGCUACUGCAGAUGUUAUUUUACGUGGAUCAAAUCACUAAUAUUAUGGCUUGAGAAGAGGUCCUAUUUGACUGCCAUAAUCCUAGAAAAAUAGCCACAAUCCCAGAAUGAUAGGAAUAGGAUUUUAUUUCUGCAGACUUCUUCAAACUGAACCUUCCUAAUAUAUCCUCCCCUAAACUGAGCAUGUUGUGCAUUUGCUCAGUUUAGAUCCUUCUUCUCUUGUACUCCCAAGAGCAUUCGAAGUUUUACAAAAUCUUCAAGUUUAAGCGGCUUUGUCAGAAUGUCUGCUAGCUGCUCCUUAGUGCCACAGUAGAUGAGCUCUACUUCUCCCUUUUUGAUAAGAUCUCGAAUAAAAUGAAAUCUUACAUUGAUGUGCUUUGUUCUCCCAUGAAAUACUGGAUUCUUGGACAAUUUAAUGGAUGAACUAUUAUCCCAGAACACAGUAACACAUUUACACUGAUCUUCUUCAAUGCUAUUUAGAACUUCCUUCAUCCAUAUACUUUGGCAUGCACAAGUGGUGGCUGCUACAUACUCUGCUUCAGUAGUUGAUAGAGUAACUAUUGGUUGCUUUUUGGAGCUCCACGCCACUGCACCAUCUCCCAACAUGAACACAUACCCAAAAGUGUUUUUCCCCCCAUCCAAGUCACCCGCAAAGUCACUAUCAGUGUAUCCUUUAAGGGUGUUGUCCGAGCUUUUUUUGUAGAAAAUACCAAACUUCAUUGUCCCCUUUAGGUACCUGAGUAUUCUUUUUGCAGCUAGUAGAUGUCCUUCCUUCGGUGCAGCCAUGAACCUGCUUAGAAAACUCACUACAUACAUUAUAUCAGGUCGCGUUGUUGUGAUAUACAUGAGGCUGCCAAUUAAUUGCUUGUAUUCGGUGCUGUCAAUUUCUUCUCCUUUCUCUUGUGAUGAUAGUUUAGUUCCUGGAACCAUAGGGUUAUUGACUGCAUUGCAGCUGCUCAUUCCAAACCUUGCAAGUAUUUCAUUUGCAUAUUUUCCUUGACAUAAGAAAAUUCCAGCCUCUGUUUGAUGUACCUCUAUACCAAAAAAAUACUUCAUCCUCCCUAGAUCAGUCAUAUCAAAUUCUGACUGCAUGGAGGCUUUAAAUUUUUCACAUAACAUCACAUUAUUACCAGUAAAGAUUAAGUCAUCCACAUACAAAAUUACCACCAAAAAACUUCCUCCUUCCUUCUUUAUGAACAAGGUGUGUUCAUAGCUGCAUUUGUUGAAACCUUCAACAGCAAAGUAAUCCUCUAACUGACUGUACCAAGCUCUAGGGGCUUGUUUCAAUCCAUUUAAUGCCUUCUUUAGUAGAUAUGCUUUGUACUCUUCUCCCUUUCGAAUGUAUCAUUCGGGUUGUUCAAUAUAAACAACCUCAUUCAGUUCUCCGUGAAGAAAAGCGCUAUUUACGUCAAGCUGAAAGACUUCCCAACCUCGCAGUGCAGCUAGAGAGAGUAGCAUUCUGAUGGUGUCCCAUCUAGCGACUGGCGAGAACACUUCGUUGUAAUCUAUUCCUUAUCUUUGAUCAUAACCCUUCACAACCAGUCUUGCCUUGUGCUUAUCGACCUCUCCUUUUUCAUUCAAUUUGGUUUUGAAAACCCACUUCACUCCAAUCUUUUUCAUUCCUUUAGGUAGGUCCACUAACUCCCAUGUAUUGUUUUUCUCGAUAGCUUGUAUCUCAGUGUCCAUGGCAUUUUUCCAUUUAAUGUCUUUUACGGCAUCACCGUAACUUACUGGAUCAUCUUCAGUAGCAUAGAGCACUAAGUAUUGCUCUUCCUCUUCUUCCUCUGCAAGAUUUUCACCAGUUACAUAAUCUUGCAGGUGUCUUGGAGGUAUGCUGAUCCUUUUUGUCUGCUCCCUUCGAGUAUCCUGAGAUUGAGCAAGGGUUGUACUUCUUGCCUUCUCUGUUUGUGCUGCAGCCUGCUCAUUUGGUAUGCCAUCUUCUUCUCUGCUUGUUCCAUUGAAUGAUUCUGUGUCAUCCCAAGUUAAUUCCUCUUGUUCAUCAUCUGUCCUCCCCCAAUUCCAUGUCUCCUUUUCAGCAAAGAUCACGUCUCUGCUGGUGAUGAUUUGCUUGCUCUCGGGAUCGUAAAGUCUAUAGGCUUUAGACUCUUCACUGACUCCCAGGAAUACACAUUUAUGGCUUUUAUCUUGUAGCUUGAUCCUCUUCACAUCCGGUAUAUAUGCAUAGGCAACACAUCCAAAAACUCUAAAAUGUGCCACAUUAGGCUUGUUUCCAGUCCAGCACUCUUUUGGAGUUUUAUUUGUAAUUGAUGCAGUAAGACUUCAGUUGAUGAUGUGUACAGACCACUUUGCUGCUUCUGCCCAUAAAUUCCUUGGCAUUUUUCCUUCAACAAGUAAACAUCAAACCAUGUUCAUGAGAGUUCAGUUUUUACGUUCAGCAACUCCAUUUUGCUGAGGAGUGUAUGAUGUGUUGAACUGUCUCUUGAUUCCCUGGGUGCUGCAAAAUUCUUGAAAAACUUGGGAAGUGUAUUCUCCUCCUCGAUCGCUUCUAAGACACCGAAUGCUCAUCCUGUCUCUUUCUUAACUUUGGUUUUAAAGUGUUUGAACUUCUCAAAAGUUUCUCCUUUUUCUGCCAGUAAAUAAAGCCAUGUUUUUCUACUAAAGUCAUCUAUGAAUGUCAGAAUAUACCUCUUGUUGCUCAUGGUAGUUGGAGUGAUUGGUCCACAGAGAUCUGAGUGGAUAAGCUAACUUUUCUGAUGCUCUCCAGUUAGCUUUCUUUGGCAUCUCUUCUCUGUGUUGCUUCCUUUUGUUGCAUACUUCACACACUUUGCUUACUUCUAUGAUUUUAGGCAUCCCUUCCACCAUUUGCUUGAAGUGCAAGCUUCAGAGUCCUUUCUGAUGUAGGUGACCAAAAUCAUCUAUGCAAAGCCCUGUGAGAUCCUCUUGUGUUACUUGCAGACAUGCAUCAUUGUGUUGUUCAGUAAGCAUGACAAACAUUCGGUUUGUAGUCAUAUAUGUGUGUACAAUCAGUCCCUUUGUGGGAUGAAGGAUAUUGCAGGCUCCUCUUUGCAUUAUCACUGUCAGAUCUUUCUCCUACAGCUGCCCAACACUUAACAAAUUGUUUGUUAAGUCUGGCACAUAAUAUACAUCACUUAUGAUUUGUGUUCUUCCUUGAACUCUCAGUUUAAUGUUCCCAAGACCCAUAACCUGCAUCCGAGCAUUGUUUCCCAGCUUCACAGUGUGUGAGAACUCCUCAUUCAAUGUAACAACCACCUUUUGUUACCUGUCAUAUGGUUGGAACAUCCUGAAUUGAUGAACCAAACAUCUUCUCUGUUUGAUCCCCUCAUUUCAACGUGAGCCAUGAGUAAAAGUUCUUCUUCAUCAUCCAGCUCAACAUAAUGUGCGUUUGUUUCCCAGGUAGGGCAUUCAUACUGAAAAUGCCCUGGCCUGUGACAUUUGAAGCAUUUCAUUGUGCCUCUGCCAAACACCUGCCUUCCUCUCCCUCUGUUUGGUCCUCUAAAGCUGAUACCUCCUCUUCCUCUAUUAGUGUUUAUUCUGCCUUCUCCAAUUGAAGUAUGCAACACCUGCUCCUCGUUUUUAUCUUUUUCCAGCCUUUUGAAUUUGGCUUCGUGAACUACAAGAGAACUUUGUAAUUCAUCAACUGUCAUGGAGCUCACAUCCUUGGAUUCUUCUAUCGAGACCACCACAUAAGUAAACCUCUUUAUCAAGGUUCGGAGCAUUUUUUUCGACCACCUUUGUGUCUGGCAUAAUCUCCCCGUUACUCCUCAUUUGGUUAGCAACUGAUGUAACUCUAGCAAAGUACUCUGUAAUUGACUCACUUUGCUUCAUUUGCAGAAUCUCAAAGUCUCUUCUCAGUGUGUUGAGAAGAUAUUUCUUCACCUUUGAAUUCCCUCCAAACUUGCUCUUCAAUGAAUCCCACACAAUCUUUGAUGUGCGCCUGUCUAAGAUCUACUCAAAUGUAACUCUAUCUAUUGCUUGAUAUAGAUAGUGUUUCACUUGAUGAUCUUUCAUCUUGGCAUCAUCAUGUUUUGUCUGCUGCGUAUUAGUAAGCGCAGUUCCAAUGAUUGGCUCCUGAACAUCAAUCUCCACAAGACUCCACAACCCUUUUGCUCUCAGCAAGUUUUCCAUCAAUUCACUCCAAUGAUCAUAAUGUUGACCAUCAAAAUGAGGAAUCUUCGUUAAACUAUUAUCCUCACUCAUUUUCUUUCUUCUUGUUAUCGAGCUGCACUUUUGUUGUGUUUGAAUCUAAAGAGGCUCUGAUACCACUGUUAGAAAUAACACUCUUAUGAAGCUCACAAGAUUGAUGGAAAUUGCAUAAUCUUAUUUGAUAAACGAGUGCUGCUUAAAUACAGCUUCUUACAAACAGAAAUGAGAAAAACUAGCUACUGUAGAUGUUAUUUUACGUGGAUCAAAUCACUAAUAUUAUGGCUUGAGAAGAGGUCCUCUUUGACUGCCAUAAUCCCAGAAAAAUAGCCACAAUCCUAGAAUGAUAGGAAUAGGAUUUUAUUUCUGCAGACUUCUUCAAACUGAACCUUCCUAAUAAGAAGAGCUUCCUCUCUCAGCAACAGACUGCAUCAAUUCCCAAGUCAUGUUCUCUAUACCACUACUUGAAUCAACAUCCCUCAUCAAUGAAGAUGGGAUGUUUUUCAUAUCCAUUUCAAAUGCUUGACCUGCUGGCUCUGUUUCCAAUCCAAUCUCAGGUGCAUCAGGCAUAAGCAUCCUAGGAACCAUGGUCUCCUCAGUAAGCACAAUCUCUCCCCCAAUCAUCCUAUCCAUCCACGCCAAUCCAUCAUCCAAAAGAGGUUGUCCUUUUUUACUGUGGACAGCACGCUAACAUUGCAAACGAUGAGAAAGAGCGUGAUCCACAGAUGGAGAGAAAGAAAUAGGCCAAGAAAAGAGAAAGCAGUAGAGUAGACAUCCUUAAGAGCAGUAUGUUCACAAAUGGAGAGCAGUAUAUAUGUAUAGUUUUCAUUAUCGGUUCUUUUAAUUAUACUCAAAUCCGACUCAAACAAUAAUUGUUUAUAAAACAUUUAAUUCAUUCGGAUUGGUUUUGUAGAGUAGUUAUCAGUUAAGGUGAAACUGUAAUCUGUACCUCCAGAUGUUAGAAAGAUAUGCCAGGCUUUUAGAAAUAAAAGGUUAUGAGCAUUCAUGUAUGGAUUUGAUCUUCUAGUUAGAUGGUCUAACAUAUUUUUUUAUGUUUAAGUAGGACAAGCCUAAACUUAAACCAAGGUUUGAUUAUUUCAGGCUAUGUUAAUAUCUUAAAAAUGAGUUAUCUAGAGAACCAGUCGUUGAAUCAAACUUAAAAUUUUUUCAAGUGAUUAAAAAGAUAAUUUUCCUACAAGAAGCGAUUGUCUUUACACCGAUUGAUCUUCCAAAAUUAGGUUUCAAUCCUGGAUGCUCUUGUGUGGGAAAAUUUUGUUAUUUUUCCUAGGGUGUUUCAGAUUUCUUGCAUUAUUGUAGGUUUUGUUUUAUUUUUCUUAAAAUUUUUGGACUUUGAGUUGUCUCUUAGUAUAGCUAGAUUAAAAAAGCAAUUCUCCUAGGCACUUAGACUUGAUAGUGUGUCAAGUCUAGGAUAGCAUAUGUUUGACACACAUGUUAAACCCAAAAUGUUUGAACUUAACAGUCAGUCAAACUCAAGAUAACAUGAAUGGUAGCAUGGGCCUGACAUGCUUGCAAGACCCAAGGUAGCGUGGGUCUGGCAUGCAUGUUUAGACCUAGCAGUUAGACACAUUCAAGAUAAUGACAAUCCUCCCUUGACAUGUCUAAAGGAAUGACCAACCUCCCUUGGAUCUAACCCCAGAAAAGAACAUGGUCUCUAUAGGCUUAGCUAAAUUUAACGUCUUAAACUCUAAUCUUCCUAUACCUUUUUAGAUGUAUAAAAAUUUUUCAAAGAUACACCACAUUCCUAUCAGAUAAGAUAUAUUUAUCUCUCAUUAAAUAUUAUCAAGAUAAUUACACGACGGGCUCUUUUUUAAUAAAAGAAUAAGAUUUGUAGGUUAUAAAUACAUAUUGAAAGCUUCAUAACAAAGGUUUACAAUUUUCAAUUUUCUACUACAUUUAUAUUUUCAGAGUAUCUUUUUAGAAUAUUCUUGUAUUUUAUUUCUCUCAAAAAAUACUAACUUUAUAAGAUGAUAUUUAAAUCUCCCAAUUAAAAUUAUUUUGUUGCAGGUAUCCAAGAUCUUCUUGGUGAAUUUAAAAUAUUUUAGAAUAUAAAAAAAAUCCAAAUAUUUUAACAUAUUAAUAAACCACUAUCCCUAACAUCAAAUAUCUUUUUAUUUUAUGUUCUUGAAUUUUUAAACUUCAUCAUCUUCAUAUUUCUUUCAAACGCUUGGCCCACUAGCUUUGCUGCUGCCAAUACGUAUCUUCUAGUCCAAGAACACUUGUGUACAGGCCUUUCUAGAAGAGCGUCCUCUCUCAACAAAUGACUGGUGUGCUUGCUCUGUUCUUUGUCUAGUCUCGGGUUCAUUUCUUAGUCCAUUUCUUAAUUUGUGUUUGGUAUGCAUGAAAGAUACUUUUUUAAAUAAUUUUAAUUGAAAAUAAAUCAAACAAUAUUUUUUAAUUUUAUUUUUAAUAUUAGUAAAUCAAAAUAAUUGAUAAAUAAUUAAAUAAUAUCACUGAGAUGCUUUUUUAGAACUAGAAAAAUCUUCUAAAUGAAUAAUAGAAAAGAAAAGAAAAGAGAAGAAAGCUAAGCUUUACAACUGGAAAAAACAUUAUCAGCACUGGAUAAAUAUGAAAUGUUUAAGUUAAGCUGAAAUUCUGAAAUGUUUAUUUCUAUCACCCUCCCGAGCACUCCUUACAUAAAUAGCAUGACGUCAUACCUUUACUAUGAGGUAAAGGUUCCAAUACCAAAAUACAAAACAAUCCCUAGAAAUCAUAAAAUCCUAAUUUCAUCCCCGGAAUAAUAGCGUAUGGCUAGAAAUCAUGGAACAUUGUCAACUGUGUUCAGCAAACUUUCAGGAUCUACUUCAAUUUUCUUAAGAGAAGGGGAAAUAGCGAUCGGGAUCCUCGUUAGCUGCGGGCAAUCACUCACAGUAAUUUCUUCGAGAGAAUCGCAUAGAAGUCUUCCAGAAUAAAUGCUUUUCAAAUUUGGUAAUUUCUUCAAUACCAAAACCCUCAAUUUAUCAAAUCUACGAAAAGGAGAGGAAUCUUCACCACUUCCCAUUAUCUCCUGCAUGUUGUAACAAUCUUCGACUACAAUCACUUCCAAUCGGCCCAACAAGCAUGAUUUUGAAGGUUCAUUAUGUAUCAACCGAGGAGGGAGCAGCACCUUCAUCCCAUGACAUUUAUGUAUCACCAUCUCUCUGAGAUUGAAAAAGACAGCAGAACAACCUAGCUCUGAAGGGUAGAAUCUCAAGCCCUGUCCCUGUACUUCAAAAAGGGUUUCUACAACUUCAGAUUUCUGAUGAAGCUUGAGGAACUGUAAUUUUGAGAGUUUGGGUAAAAUACCCGACCGUAAAACACGCACCCCGCUUCCAUCAAGAUUAAGAUACCUGAGAUCCUUCAGCCUUUCCAUUCCCUCGGGCAAAUCUUCAAGUCCAGUGUAACUGAGAUCCAACUUCUCCAAUGCCUUAAGCUUUGCUAAUGAUGGUACAUAACUCAGCUUUGCACACCAUCCCAGCAACAAUGCAGUGAGUCUCGUCAGAUGAGAAAUAGAAUCCGGCAACUUCUCUAUAUCUGUGUCGGAAAGAUCAAGAACCUUGAGUCCGAUGAGAUGCUGGAAAAAAGAAUCCUCCACCAAAUUCAAUUUGUAGUUUCUGCAUAACAAUAAUGUUGAGAGACGGGGGCACAUUGGUGAAAAGCCUGUUGGAAUAUUCUCGAUUCUAUUUUCCAUGAGUGAAACUCUUAACAGAUCCUCUCUCCACAAUCUUACACCGGGUAAUUCUGUUAGCUGUGCACCUGCUUGAACCAUAGCCCCCCCACUUUCGUUCAAUAUUUUCCAAGCCAUAUCCCAAAUCAAAUCAUGCAUCUUGACAUAUCUGUAAUCUUCAUCGUCCCUGGAACCUUCUAAUAAGCUGGCAUCUUCAAGUUGAUCAAGCAUGGUAUGGCCCCUAUCAAAUCGUGCAUGCCUACUCCCCAUUUCUUUGACUAUACCCUCGUCAAUCAAAUACUCUAUCAAGUCCUCUCUCCAGAUGAUCUUGCCUUUUGGAAAUAGUGUGAUAUGUAAGAAGCACUCUUGAAGUGCUGAAUCGUUCAACUGAGCAUAGCUAAAUUUCAAUACUCGAAAUACAUUGGCUUCCAUCUCACCUGGUCCAACUUCUAAUCUUCUCAGUUUUAGCAAUGCAUCUCUCCAACGAUAUUCACCAUCCACUCCCUUCAUGCUUCGAGCCAUUGUCAUGAUUCCAAGAGGCAAACCAGCACACUCCUUCACAAUAGACUCUGCGAUCUCAGGAUAAAGUGUACCACCACGCCCUAAUCUGUAUAUGAACAGAUCCCAAGCCUCACCCUCAGAAAGAGGCUCCACUUUGAUUAUCCUUUGGCAAUCCAUUUUUCGACAUAUCUCCAGUGAUCUCGUUGUGAGAAUCAACUUCCACCCGUCUGUUCUAAGAGGUAUUCCCACUUCAUCAGGAAGAAAAUGACCCCACAAAUUAUCAAGAAUUAAAAAACCUUUUUUUUUCACAUUCAACUCUGUCAACAGCUCCCCAGUUCUCACCAUCGCAUCAUUUUCAUCCAAAGGUUUUAAAUCCAAAACCUCAGCAAUGCGACCCUGCAAUGCAUGAAUGCUAAAAUCUUGUGACAUAGUAAUCCAACGAACAGGAUGAAACAUGCCUAGUUUCUCGUGAAGCUGAUUAUAGAUAUGUGUAGCCAAAGCUGUCUUUCCCACCCCCCCCAUCCCACAAAUGCCAAUGCAUGAGACCUCAUCAUUCAACAACCAACCAGACAUCAUUCAUGUUUCUUUCCAUAGCUUGGCCCACUAGCUUUGUUGUCGGCAAUACAUAUCUUCCAGUCCUACGUUUCUUAUGUACAGGCCUUUUAGAAGAGGGCCGUCUCUCAACAACAGACUGCAUCAAUUCCGGACUCAUGGUCAGUCUACCAGUUCUUAACUCAAAAUCCCUCAUUGAUGAGGAUGAGAUGUUAUUCAAGUUCAUUUCAAAUGACUGAUGUGCUUGCUCUGUUCUUUGUCUAGUCUCGGGUUCAUCUGGCAUAAGAACGACAGGAGCUCUAGGUUCCUCGACAAGCUCAGUCUCCCCCCCAAUCAGAAAACCCUUCCGUCCUCGUUCAUCCGAAAGAGGUUGUUCUUCUUGUUCCAUUUCUAAGCCCCGCAAAGCAGUUGAAGCUGCAUUAAUUCCCUCGUUAUUGCUUGAACUUGGCACACUCUUAUCUACAGGCAUUUUAGAACAGCUUCCUCUCUCAGUAACAGCCUGCAUCAAUUCCCGACUCUCUAUACCACUGCUUAACUCAACUUCCCUCGUCAAUGAAGAUGUGAUGUUAUUCAUAUCCGUUUCAAAUGCUUGAACUGCUGGCUCUAUUCCCAAUCCAGUCUCAGGUGCAUCGGGCAUAUGCAUGCUAGGAACCAUGGUCUCCUCAGGAAGCACAAUCUCUUCCCAAGUCAAGCUAUCCAUCCAUGAAAAAUCAUCCAAAAGAGAUUGUCCUUGUUGUUGCAUUUCUAAAUCUUGCGCAGGAUCUGAAUCUGCAGUAACUAUUAUAUUAUUGCUUGAACUUGGCAUGCUCCCACGCAUUCUGUCAGGAAGCUUAUCAAACGCUGCUCGUUGAACAUCUGGAGUUACUUUUUCACAAAUUUUAACACCACCCCUCCAACUCUUGCCAGAUGAUAUUUCAUCCUUGUAGUGGAAGUGCUUCCAGCCAAUGUCUUCACAAAAAAUGCACUUCAAUAAACCACCAUCCACUUUCUCAAAAUAACGAAAUGGAUCACUUCCUCCAGCCAUUUUUUCUUCUGUGUCCCUACAUACAGACAUAACAAAGAACUUUCAGAAUAUUGAAUUAAAAUGGAACUUAAACUAAUUGAAAAAAAGAAGAAGCUAAGUUUAAGAUAAAAAAAAAAUUGAUUACAGUGUUUCACUGUCUAAACCAAAGUCAAGUUAAACCACUCCAAAGAUCAUAGUGUUCUUUUUUACUUUCCCAAUAAUUCUACAACUGGUCAUAUCAGUAAUUUAAUAACCAGUAUGUUUCUUUUUGCUUAGAAGAAUCAAACUACAUGAGUUGGAAAAGAAAUGGUAUGAAAUUAGAGCUAAAAUUAAUCAAACUUAAUUACCUGAGCAGCAGAUGCAGCAAGAUGUUAUCCAAUUAUUUGAUUAAAUCAGAAGAAAGAAGAUGGACGGGGAAGAGUAAGUGUGUUGGAGACGCGUGAUAGAGCUUCGGCUUGUUUGGUUGUGGAUAAGGAUAGAUUCAGACAGUCAGAGAAGCAGAUGACAGUGAAAAAAAGUAAAAUGGACUUCUGUCGUUCAUGGAUGUCAUAUGGACAUGUUGUUGGUCUUCCAGGAAGCGGAUCCGGCGAGGGGUGCUCUAGUGAAGGCGUGGGGGUAGGCGGUGGCUGAUGAUAGUCUCCUCGUGUGGUGGACAGCACGCCAACUUUGCAAACGAUGAGAAAGAGCACGAUCCACCACAAAACAGCAGAAGAGAAAGCAGGAAGAAAAGGGAGCAGGGUCGACCGAGAGAGAAGUAGAGCUGACCCAGAGAGCGGUAUCUUCACAAAUGGAGAGGUUUGUGUUUUCUGUAGGUGGUAGAAAAAAGAGACAGAGGAUGAGAGACAACAGAGAGGGAGAGUACCUGUUUGUUUGCUGGUUUUUUUUAAAAAGAGUUAAUUUCCAGAAAUAACAAUGAAGUUACUGAUUGAAACAUUGGUCCACCACCCUCAGGUCAAUGAUGAAGAAUUGCAGGGUUCUUGGUUAUUUCUUCUGGUCUAGAAGUCUUUGCCGUGUAACAAUCUAUCACGGUAUGAAAGAUGCACGUAUUAUAGGGUAGAAAUCAAUGGCAAAGGGAAGAGAUGAAAGAAGAAGGACCUUCAAAAUCCUAAAAAAAAUAUUAUUAAUAUAUUUUUUUUCAUUUUAUUUGUUGUCCAUAUUUUAUUUUUUAAUAAUAUUAUUAAAUUAACCGAGUCAGUUGACAAAAAUAUUAAAUCACAUUGCUUUUAAAAUAUUUUAUAUUUCAGUCUUUUGUGGCAUUAACAAUGAAGUUACUGAUUGAAACAUUGGUCCACCACCCUCAGGUCAAUGACGAAGAAUCGUAGGGUUCUUGGUUAUUUCUUCUGGUCGAGAAGUCUGUGCCGGGUAACAAUCUAUCACGGUAUGAAAGUUGCACGUAUUAUUUAGCCUGUGAUUGCUUAUAUAAUGAUAACUGUGAAGAACUGAGUUCUUUAUUUCACUUUAUUCAUCGGUGUUUCGAAUAAAUAUUAUACAGGAACACAAAGGCCUUUUAUAGACCUUUGCAAAGACUCCUAACAGACUAGGAGAUAAGUCUCGUAAGUGAUAGACUUUGUGUACAACAGACUAACGUAGAGUUCUUAACAGAAUAGGAGAUAAAUGUUACGUAGAGUUCUUAACAGACUAGGAGAUAAAUAUAACAAUCUUCUACACUCCCCCUCAAGUUGGUGCAUAGAUGUUUUGCAUGCCCAACUUGUCUAACACUUGGUGAAAGACUUUACUUGACACAGCCUUAGUAAGAAUGUCUGCCAAUUGAUCUUGAGAUCGAACAUGAGGAACUUCAAUUACCUUGGCUUCCAAUUGUUCUUUAAUAAAAUGUCUGUCAAUCUCCACAUGCUUUGUUCGAUCAUGUUGAACAGGAUUGUGAGCGAUGUCACAUGCGGCCUUGUUAUCACAAUAUAACUUCAUAGGAGAUGUUGUUGAAAUCCUGAGUUCCUGUAGCAAAUUUUUAAUCCACAACAGCUCACAUACACCUUUAGCCAUGCCUCUAUACUCUGCUUCCGCACUAGAUCUAGCGACAACUCCCUGUUUCUUGCUUCGCCAUGUAACCAAGUUUCCACCAACAAACGUCAAGUAUCCUGCAGUUAAACGCCUAUCAUCAAUUGAGCCAGCCCAAUCUGCAUCAGUGUAGCCUUCAAUGUUUAAGGUCUCUCCCUUAGUGAACACGAUUCCUUUGCCUGGAGAGGAUUUCAAAUACUGUAGGAUACGCAUUACUGCCUUCAUAUGUUCUUCACUUGGAGAGUGCAUAAAUUGGCUAACAACACUGAGAGGGUAUGCCAAGUCAGGUCUAGUGUGGGAGAGAUACAUUAACCUUCCUACUAGCCUCUGAUAUUGUUCUUUAUUUACAGGAAUCUGAUUAGAAUAUGUACUCAACUUGACAUUUUCUGCAGCAGGUGUAUCACUUGGUUUGCAGGCUAACAUGCCAACUUCAUUAAGCAAAUCAACUAUGUAUUUUCGUUGUGACAAGAGUAUACCAGUGCUGGAUCUCAAGACCUCGAUUCCUAGGAAGUACUUUAAAGGUCCGAGGUCUUUCAUUUCAAAUUCACGGGAGAGAUAAGUUUGUAGGGCUUCCUUUUCAAUAGCAUCAUUUCCUGUUACAAUCAUGUCAUCAACAUAUAUAAUUAAUAGUGUGAGCUUUCCUUCAUUAUGCUUUAUGAAGAGAGUAUGAUCAGAACUACUCUGUUGAUAACCAAAUGCCUUCAUUGAGCUUGUAAAUCUGCCAAACCAAGCUCUUGGUGAUUGCUUUAAACCAUAUAAUGAUUUGCGCAAUUUACACACUUGUUUGCUCCCUUCAACCUGUAACUUACAUCCUGGAGGUAACUCCAUGUAUACUUCUUCUUGGAGAGUCCCGUGCAGGAACGCAUUCUUUACAUCAAAUUGAUGUAGUGGCCAAUCAAAAUUUACAGCUAAUGAUAAGAGAAUGCGUACAGUAUUUAUUUUGGCCACUGGUGCAAAAGUUUCUGCAUAAUGAAUUCCAUAUGUUUGGCUAUAUCCUUUAGCCACAAGCCGAGCUUUAAACCUCUCAAUCCAUCAGCUUUGUAUUUGACUGAGAGUCCAUCUGCAUCCCACAUGUUUUCUUCCACAGGUAAAUCAACCAUCUCCCAUGUUGUUUCUUUGGAGAGAUUUCAUCUCUUCGUUCAUUGCAUUUUUCCAACUAGGAUCUUUUAUAGCUUCCUGCACAUUAUUAGGAACCUGUACAAUAGAUAAUUGAUUUGCAAAUGAUUCACGUUCCUUUGACAACCUGUGGUAAGAUACAUAAUUGUUUAUUGGAUAUUUAGGGGCAGAAGUUCGGACAGGUUCAUAACUAACUCUAGGAAUUCCUCUUGUGGUACAAUUGGGAAGGAUACAGAGUGGAAGUUCAAGAUUUACCUGAGAUUCAUUUGGUGGUGACGACUCAUGAGGACUAGGAGCAUCAAGUGAAGAUAAUUAAAGUUGUGGUACAUUCAAUUCAACUAUAUUAGGAUGAUCACACAGUGCAAGCUCAUUUGUCGUUGGCUCAGUGGUUGUAUCUGUAUGUUCUGGUCCUACCAGUUCAGGUUGUUCAAGUUCAGUCAAAGUAUGACUUAUGUUCUCACUCUGAUAAGUAAAAGACUUCAAGUCACUACUCUCCCCUCCCUGAUUUGUUGUUGCAGGAAAGUACAUUUGGUGUUCAUGAAACUGUACAUCCAUGGUAACAUACACUUUGUGAGUUGGUGGAUGGAAGCACCUGUACCCUUUCUGAUGGAGACCAUAACCAAUAAAAACACAUCGGAGGGCACAUGGUUGAAGUUUAUGGCGAGCAUGUUUUGGUAUGUGUACAAAGGCAGUGCAACCAAACACUUUUGGGGGCAAGUUCAGUAUGAGUGAUGAGGGUAGGCUUUGAUUUAAUGUUUCAAGAGGUGUUUGGAAGUCUAAGCUGCGAGAUGGAAUACGGUUUAUCACAUAUGAAGCAGUGGCAAGUGAUUCUCCCCAAAAAUGAAGGGGCAUUUUGGCUUCAAUAAUUGUAGCUCGAACCAUUUCCAGAAGAUGUCUAUUUUUUCUUUCUGCAACCCCAUUUUGCUGAGGGGUAUAGGGGCAUGUAGUCUGGUGAAUUAUGCCCUGACCAUGUAAAAAUUUCCUCAUCUCAUGAUUGACAAACUCUCCACCAUUAUCAGUGCGAAGGACUUGAAUUGAAGUUUUAUAUUGAGUAGCAACCAUUGAAUAAAACUGUUUAAAGAGUGAGCAUACAUCCUGCUUUGUUUUCAUCAAACACACCCAGGUCAUGCGACUAUAAUCAUCAAUAAAAGACACAAACCAACGUGCUCCAUUCAGAGUUGGAACUUUUGCAGGACCCCAAACAUCAGAAUGUAUAAGUGUAAAUGGUGCAGAACUUUUAUUCAAACUUGGCAGAAAUGGAACACGGUGGCUCUUUGCCAAUUCACAGGUUUCACAUUUGAGUACUGGUAGAGAUGUGUUUGAAAAUAGCUCAGGAAGCAAAUGUUUUAAAUAUCCAAAUGAAAUAUGUCCAAAUCGCUUGUGCCACAACCAAAUAUUAGCAGUGGAUGUUGAACUGGUAACUGCUAAUGACUGAGCCAAUGCAUUUGAGCUAGAUGACGUGAGAUCAAGGUAAUAUAGCUUUCCUUUUUUAGUACCACAACCAAUCGUCCUCCUUGUCUUGAUGUCCUUGAAAACACAAUGAUCAGGCCAAAAAAUUACAACACAAUGCAAGGAAGUUGUAAUUUGAGAGACAGAUAUCAAAUUAAAAUUAAGGGAAGGAACUAUAAGAACAAUAUCUAAAUUGAGUUUACUUAAAGAAAAUGAACCUUUGCCAAUAACUGUGGCUUCUGUUCCAUUGGCUGUAGACACAACAUAUUUUUCAGAUGGUUUUAAUUUAGAAACAGGGGAGGUAGUGUCAAAGGACAUAUGAUCAGUUGAUCCAGAAUCAAUAAUCCAUGCACAAGAUCCAAUAGGUGCAGGUUUAUCAGAAGACUUACCUGGUGAGUUGGAGGAGGUGUGUAAUGCAGUAGCAUUGGCAUUCGGUAAAGAUACUUCAGCUAUGGCGGUGGAUACUGUUGAUGUAGUUGCAGUUUUGCCUUUAUGUUUUGGAGCCUUGGAAUGAUCCCACCAUUCAGGGUAUCCAAUCAAGUCAUAACAUCGACUUUUAGUGUGUCCGGUGUCUCCACAAUGAGUACAAUAUCUAGAUGAGCCAGACUGUUUAUUUCCAAUAUCAAAACUUCGAGAUGUCGCCACUGAACCAGGGUGAGUUUGUCGGAUAGGUGGUGUGUUUCGGCGAGCUAACAUGGCCAUAGAAUCAGGAGCAGUCAAGUCAUUUGUAAGAAGAAUUCGACGAUUUGCUUCACGACGAACAUAUGCAUAUGUGCGUUCAAGAUCAAGGCUUGGAUCCAUGCGAAGGAUUUCUCCCCGUACUUGUUCAAAUUCAGCAUCAAGACCAUUUAAGAAGAUAUGUAUCCUCAAUUUUUCAACUGAUGCUUUAUACAUAAUGAUAUCUUCAGGGUCCCUCAUCUUAACUUUAUCACGAUAAUCAAGUUCUUGAAAUAUCUCUACCAGCUCACCAUAAUAUGUAGGAAGAGAUCGACUUGAUUGACGAAUGGAGAAGGCACGUUGAUUGAGAUGAAAUAUUUGUGUUUCAUCUGAUCCGUCAUAGAAUGCUUUAGCAAGAGCACUCCAGAUUUCACGAGUAGUACGUAGGCGAAGGUACCUCUUCAUGAUCUCUGAUGACAUGGAUGUGAGUAACCAACCUUUAAUUUUUUGAUUUUCAGCAUACCACUUCGAAUAAGAGGGGUCUGUUGGUUCGGGUUGAGAUGAGUCACCAAUGAUAUAAUUGAGUUUCUCACGAUCAGCAAUAUGCAUCUCAAUUAUUUGGGACCAGGUGUCAUAAUUGGUUUCGGUGAGAAUUAUGCCAGCAUUGAAACCUGAAUUCUCAGAUUGGACAUGUAUAACAGGAGAGGAUGAUACGAGGGUUGAUUCGGUAGCCAUCGUAUUGAGGGAUAGCUUGAUUCAAUAAGUUUGCAGGGAUUUAGAAAACCUGCUCUGAUACCAUGAAGAACUGAGUUCUUUAUUUCACUUUAUUCAUCUGUGUUUCGAAUAUUUAUUAUACAGGAACACAAAGGCCUUUUAUAGACCUUUGCAAAGACUCCUAACAGACUAGGAGAUAAGUCUCGUAAGUGAUAGACUUUGUGUACAACAGACUAACGUAGAGUUCUUAACAGAAUAGGAGAGAAAUGUUACGUAGAGUUCUUAACAGACUAGGAGAUAAAUAUAACAAUCUUCUACAAACUGGAGGUUUAUAUAAUCGUUAAUUUUAAAACCGGUAAAAUUAAUCGAGGUGCACGUAAACUGACCGGACAUCUACAUUAAUAAUAAAAAAAAAACAUGCAAGUAUUAUAAGUCUCAGGUGGUAUAAUUCAAGUUGCCAUUUUGAUAUUAAAAUAACACAUUUCCAGGCCUUAUAUUUAAUAGUUUUAUGCUUAAAAAAAAAAGAGCUUGGCGUAUCACAUCCACCUAAUUAGUAUUAUCUAUAAAAAUCAAGGUUGUCAAUUUCGUUUCGGUAGGUGUUUCGUUUUUUCAAUUGGAAUGAAAUGUUUCAGUUUCGGAGUGUUUACUGUUCAUAUAUAUAUUCAACAAACAUAAUUUUAAUUCAAGAUAAAUUAAUUAUAAAUUAUGCAAUACAAACACAAUGCCAAAUAAAUAUAAUUUCAAAAUUUAAAAUAUUUCUAAAUAGUCAAGAUUAAAUAGAUCUUUAACUUAAAGUAAUUCAACUUAAACGAAAUAUCAAAAUAUUAUGAAAGUAAAAUCUUUUAACAAAAAUAUUUUAAAUAUAAAAUUAAGUCAUUCUUAUCAAGUGGUUAAUAGAAUCUAAAGCAUCCCUUGUUUUGCUCAAAUUCCUACAAAGUAUAAACAUGAAAAAAAACAUGAAUAUAAACCAUAAAUAUUAGUGAUAAAUCUAAUUUUAAAAAAUUAAUAUCAUUGUUAAUGAAAAUAGUAAUAAUAAUUUUCAAUAUUAUUAUUAAUAUCAUUGCUAUUGAAAAUAGUAAUGAAAAAAAGCUUUUUAUAAUCGGAUGGUUUAAUUAAUGAAAUUGAGCAAGGUUCAAUUUGAUUCAAUGGCUUUUCAAGAGUGAAACGGAACAUGUGGAAUGAAACCGGAACGUUUCGGGUGGAAUUUAACCGAAAAAUCCGGAAUGGACCGAGAUUUAAAAUGAGAUGAAAUUUGUUCCGUUUUUUGAAUUGGUAUGAAAUAUUUUAGUCAUUCCAGAUGAAACGAAAUGAAAUUGACAACCUUGAUAAAAAUAUAAUCUGAUCCCAUCCCAUGUCACAUACUCAUUAAAAGCUUGACACGUGUAAGAUACACUCUGAUGCAACCUGUGGUACAACGACAAAGAUAUUUUAUAUUGAUUGAGAGGUUAAGGAGGCAGUCAAUAUUUUAUAUUUCAGUCUUUUGUGGCAUUAAUAAUAAUGAUAGAAACAUUGGUUUGCUUCCUCUUGGGUGUAGGACAAGCACUACGUGGCGUUUGGGCUGCCUAUACUUUAAUAUUUUUAGUAUAAUUAAUAGUGUUGAUCUCAAAAUUAUUAUUAUUAUUUUUAGUAUAAUUAAUAGUAUUAAUCUCUAAAAUAUUAUUACAUUUGGUGUUGUAAAUAAUAUGAUUUUUAUAAUAACUCAAAUUAAUGGCAAAGGGAAGAGAUGAAAGAAGAAGGAUGAAUGCAAACCUAUCCAUCAAAAUCCUUCUAUCCUCCCUGCAAUUCCUUCCAAAUUAUGUGCUACAAUGAUUUUCUUCGCGAUUGAAGUAAGUUAGACUGGAUUGCCUAAAUAUGAUGAAUAAAGGGUUGGAUUUGCAAAAUUAUUUACACAGUUUAAUUUGUUGAUUUGAUACAUCUCAAUCUGUGAAUUAAUAGAAAAGAAGAAGAAGAAGAAGCUAGUACUAAACCAAUAAGUUUACACAUAAUCCAUGAACGUAUCUCAUAGGUCACAACAUUUUCCUUCAUUAUUGGUCACUAAUAUGUUACUAUUGAAAAGAGUAACUUAACAAUGGUCUAUAGGGUCUUUUCUAGGUGUUUUAGGGUGGUUUGUAUGGGUUUUUGGUGGCCAUGAAUUAACUUAACAAGGUCUUUAGGGUCUUUUCUAGGUGUUUUGGGUAAAAAAUAGAUUGAAAAUUAGUUUUUAAAUAAAAAAAAAAACAAAAGACCAUAUUUUUUCAGUCACCAUAAUGGCUGAAUUCUAGGUUGUGUAGAGGAUGCGUCAUUUUUCCAGCCCCUUACGUACAAUUUUUUUUAAAAAUAAAGUCUUGCGCGCUAACCAUUGCUUUAUUGGGUAAGACGUUGGCCUUCGCUUGCUAGGCCUAACAAUACCUGGCCUGAUUUCUUUUUUAUUAUUUUUUUAAUUUUUAAUUUUUCUUUUUAAAUAAAUCAUUAUUUGUGUGUAUUUUAUAAAAUAAAUUUUGGGUUUAUAUUUUAAUUAUAUUGUGAUUAUUUUUAAAUGACAUUUGGUGUGUUUAAUUUUUAAAGAGAUAGAUAUGAUUCAUGUUAUUAUUUAAAUUAUCCGAGUGAAUUGAACUCAUUAGAGCCAAUUCCCUAUAUAUUAUAUAUUUUUUAAGUAUUUAUUUUUUUUCAAUAUUUUUAUGCUAAAACAAAUAAACCUUAGCGUUAUAGCGUAUCGCAGCUAGUAUUACCUGUAAACAUAUCAUCUUAUCCCAUCCCAUGUCAAAUACUCAUUAAAAUAAUUUGUUGUCAAUUAUUUUAUAUUUCAUUCUUCUGUCGCACGUGUGCGGCGGCGCGACGAUCGUCCACCCUCAAGGGAAAAAUCGGAAUAUUUAUUCCUGGAAAAAAGGGAGAGACAAGGAAUUCUUGUCUCUAUAUGUGAAAAUAUAGACUGGGAGUCGCCACCUAGUUUUCUGGUUACUAGGAACCUUAACUAGUCUUUAGAGAUCGGGUACGGAGACUGGUUGCGUAAAGGGAAGGUAUUAGCACCCCAACUACGCCCUACCUAAGGUAUGCUGCAUUGUUUUAAUGUCUGAUAAAAUUUAAAAUCGUGUUGUGGUUUUUGAAUUGUUGGUUCGUUUACGGUUUAAGAAAAGUCCUCCUCCGUAAGGAGAUCCUUAUCUUUAUCGGGUAAAAAAUUAACUAUUCGAAGUCGUCAAAAAAAAAUAUUUUUUUAAUAUCAGGAAUACGAUUUACGUAUAAAUUCAUAAUCCUUGAUACUAAAAUCAAACAAAAUAAAAUAUUUUGUUGUUUUUGAGAUUUUGGCCAAUGUUCUCUUGACUUUAAUAAACUGGUUAUUAAAGCCAAAAUGCAUGCUAAAAUAUUGUUUUUUGACAUAUGAAAAAUACGAUAUGAUUUUUUAGAUUUGAGAUACUUGGCCGUAUGCACAAAAACAUUUUUUAUUUUUUUAUUUUUGUAUUUUUUGGAAUUUUAAUAUCGGAUUUAUAUUUUUUACGAUGUAAAAAUACUGCCCGAUAUUAAUCAAAAUGACAUAAAAAAUUACGCGGAAAAAUUAUAAAAUGCUGAAAUAAUUAUUUUUGAAUUUUUUCUUUCUGAAUGUGAACAGUGCCUUUAUUGGGUAAGACAUUGGCCUUCACUUGCUAGGCCUAACAACACUUGGCCUGAUUUUUUUUUAAUUUUUAGUUUUUCUUUUUAAAUAAAUCAUUAUUUGUGUGUAUUUUAUCAAUUAAAUUUUGAGUUUAUGUUUUAAUUAUAUUGUAAUUAUUUUUAAAUGAUAUUUGAUGUAUUUAAUUUUUAAAAAGAUAGAUAUGAUUUAUAUUAUUAUUUAAAUUAACCGAGUCAAUUGAACUCAUUAGAGCCAAUUAUCUAUAUAUUAUAUUUUUUUGAAGUAUUUAUUUUUUUCAAUAUUUUUAUGCUAAAACAAAUAACCCUUAGCAUUGUAGCGAAUUGCAGCUAGUAUUACCUGUAAACGUAUCAUCUGAUCCCAUCCCAUGUCACAUACUCAUUUAUAGCUUGACACGUGUAUGAUAUACUCUAUGGUGCAACUUGUGGUACAACAACAAAGAUAUUUUAUACCGAUUGAGAGGUUAAGGAGCCGGUCAAUAUUUUAUAUUUCAGUGUUUUGUGGCAUUAAUAAUAAUGAUAGAAACAUUGGUCCACACUGUUAGUUUCUUUCAUGGCAAAGACUUUUCCCUCGGGUCGAUGAUGAAGAAUAUUUGUAGUGUUCUUGGUUAUUCCUUAUUGUCGAGAAGCUUGUGCCUUGUAGCAAUCUAUCACGGGGGUGCUUGUCAAGAAAGAUGUCCAUAUUAAAGGGUAGAAGUGGUAAAUAAAAGAGAUGACAGAAGGAGGAUGAGAGCACAUGAUCUCUCUAGGAAUUCUAUGUACAAUUAAUGCUCGAUAAUCAACUUCUUUUCGCGGUUAAAAGAUUAAAGAAUUAAUUUUUAUUAUUAAUAAUUUGUUACUCUUUCAAUAGAGAAUGGCUUUAGAUUAAAUUUUUAUUUAUUUAUACUUUAUUGAAAUUAUAUUAAAGAAAACAAAUUUCCAGCGCAAAGCAUAACAACACACCUUUUCAUUUAUUUUUUCUUAUUUUGUUUCUUUAAUUUAGUUUUAAUUAUAUCUUUUUUUUUAAAUCUGUUAGUUUAACUAUUUUUAAAUAGUAAUUAAUCUUUUGGAUGGGUUUUUAAAUUUCAUAAUAUCUCAAAGGGAUUAUUGUAAUUUAUUUUAAUUUUUUUAUUAAUUUUUUUUAUAGCUAGAUAAGUUAUAUUUGCAUUAUAUGUUUUUAAUGAUGAAAAUAAAAUGUACUUAAUAACCAUAAUAAACCUUCAAGAUACAUAAAAAAAAAAACUCAUCUGUAAAAAAUGAAAUGCCAAGUCUAUGUGUACUGUCAAGUCCAAAUCUAUUGAUGCCAGACCCAUAUAUUUAUAAUAAAUAAAUAAAUAAAAUAACACAUCAGUUAUAUUGAUUUCCUUCGCAAUUGAAGUAGGUUAGGCUGGACUGCCUAAAUAUGAUGAAUAAAGGGCUGGAUUUGCAAAAUUAUUUACACAUUUUAAUUUGUUUGUUGAUUUGAUACUUCUCAAUCUGUGAAUUUACACUGCAUUAGUAGUUAAGAACUUAGAAGGUGAACUGACAGAAAAGAAGAAGAAGAAGAAGAAGAAGCAUUAGUACAAUUUCCUAUAUUCGAUGGUCCUCGAACCUAAUAUGUUAUUACUGAAAAGAGUAAAUUUCUGAACCUAACUCACAACAAUUUCCUUCAUUAUUGCUCACUAAUAUGUUAUUACUGAAAAGAGUAAAUUUCUGAUCACUCUAUUUCUGAGAUGGCUGCCAACUCUUGGUGAAGACGUCUCGCUGGCAUCCGGCCUGCGCUGGUUCUCUUAGGGACAGAGGAGCUAAAAGGAUCAGGAGGCUUUGUUAAGUUUUCUCCUUCCCCUUCAAGCAUCUGGACAACAGUUUUCAUGGAAGGACGCUCUGCUGGGUUCCACUGAAUGCACCAUAGCCCCACAAUUGCUAGUUUCUUCGCAAUUCUAGCAUCUUCUUCUCCAUCGAUAUGAAACCGCAGGUCUUCUUCCUUUUCUAAGAGAUUAUAAAUCCAUUCCGGGAAGUAUAUCUGGUCGCCAUUUUCUGCUGUAUCAUCGACGUUCUUCCUUCCUCCAACCAUUUCCAACACUAACAUCCCAAAGCUGUAAACAUCUGAUUUAUAGGAAACAUUCCCGAAGUUCCUCGAGAACACUUCCGGGGCAAUGUAGCCAACAGUCCCCCUAGCAGUCGUCAUGGAAAUAGCACUUUUAUCCUUGGAACACAACUUAGCCAUCCCAAAAUCGGCGAUUUUGGGAUUGAAUUCGUUGUCAAGCAGGAUAUUCUGUGGUUUGAUAUCAAAAUGGAGGAUUCUUUGAUCGCACCCCUGGUGAAGAUAUUCAAUCCCCUUGGCUAUGCCUAGAGCAACACGAUUCAACCUUUCCCAGCCAAGGAAAUGGUUCCUUGAGUCUGCUGAGGUUAUGAACUGCUGUAAUGAACCAUUUGGCAAGUACUCAUAAACCAGAGCUCGUCUGAAUCCAUCAGCACAGAAACCGAUCAAGCGAACAACAUUGACAUGGUGGAUCCUUGCCAUUGUUCCCACUUCAUUGAUGAAUUCCUCCCCUUUUCCUAUGGAAUUAUUGAGGAGCUUCACAGCUACAGCAAUUUCAUUGGUCAGCUUUCCUUUGAACACGGUUCCAUAAGCUCCUUGGCCCAAUUCAUCACUGAAUUGAUUUGUGAUCCUCUUGAGAUCAGCGUAGGAGUACCUAGUGGGAUUCAGUGAUCUGUAAUCAUCCAAAAACAUUUCAACCCUGGCUUGAUGUUCUCUUUGUGUUUUAUCGUUGCUAUAGGCGCGGUACAGUGCAGUAAUCACUAUAGCAAAAAGGAAUAAUCCUAAAAUCACACCUGCAUAUCAACAUUCUGAGUCAGGAAACUCUUUUUUUCUGGGGGGGAAAGUAAUGUAUUGAACCAAGUGUAAAAUUGAGAUGGAGAUUUGAGCAGACUACUAACCAGCAAUCAGUAGCUUUCGCCGCACAUCUAGAUCUGCAAGGGAUUGAAUACUUAUUAGCUUCUCCCUUUUAGGCAAUUGGUAAAAUCAUGAAAGCAACAAAGACGAAAAGAGUUUCUCUAGUGUUUUGUUAUUUACAUAUUCAAAUGCCAAUUAUUGAUUUGAAAAAAAGGAAGAAAGAUACAAAAACAUACCUUUAGUGUGCGGAAGAAUGCUGUAGCAUUCAGUUUCAGAAGAUCCACAAGUAACUGGAUUGGACCAAGACAUAGUAAGAACAGAAUUUUCUUCCUGCAUCAUACUAUAUGGAAUUCCAUAAAUGUUGUACAUCUUGGUACAAGAUAAGAAAUCAGAGUAACUGAUGGAAAUACUUAAGUCAACGGCAUAAACUUCAUGCUUAAAAGUACUCAGACAUGGGAUUUUAUCCAUGUACGGAGGAGACCUUUUCUCACUAGAAAGUGAACAAUUGAACAAGGUCCAAUCAUACAGCCAAUCGUUUUUAAUUUGGAAGGGAGAAGCCCCUAAACUGAAGUUUAAACGUUGCCUUGGAAAGCAAUCUUGAGGAUACCUUGCAUAAAUACGUUGAUGUCUAUAGUCAAUUCUUUCGAUGUGGAGACUCAAUCCAGUUGGCAGCUUAAGCACUGUGCUGUUGUCCUCUGAGCAGGAUAGAUCAAACCCAGGACAACCACAGUGGUCUGGUUGUUUGUCCAUGUUUCGGAAAGGAAAUCGGAUGUCAGGGCCACGGUUUCCACAUGAUCCUGUGCUAUUCAAGCUUGCUCCAUGGCCUGCAAGGAAGAAAAAGAAAAAGAAAAAGAAGAACAAACACGUAACCAUUUCUGAUGAAUAAUUCAUCAUCUCCACACUCCUCCAGAUUUUAUCUGCAUGUGCUGAUAUAGUUUUGGCCUUUCAGAAAACUCAUGUAGUCCUUAGACGGCGAUUCCUUUACAGAAUUUAUUUACUCCAUCGAUCUAGUGUGAUGCUCGUCCCUUUGACAUUCCUCCACUCACAAACAUGUGGGAUCCAAUUAUUCCGUUUUAUUUAGGGGUGAGCAUAAUUUCAAACGGUUUGGUUUGGAUAAAAAAAUAUAUAUAACAGAAGUUUUUUUAAAAAAAAUAUUUAGUUCAAACGGUUUGGUUUGGAUAAAACAAUAUAUAACAGAACCAAUUUUUGUUAAUUGUUUUUUGAAUUGAAUCAAAUAAAAGAACCAAAUUAACUGGUAUUUGUUUUUUUUUUUUUUGAGUUAAUGGACCUUUAGUUGAGCAAUUUUGACAAGUUUUAGGGUAGUUGUUUACACAGCCUCAUUAUAUUUUAUAUAAAAUAUUUUUUUAAAAUUAAGUUUUUGUGUUUAUGGAUUGUUUUAAUGUGCUAAUAUUACGAAUAAAUUUUUUAAAAAAAUUAUUUUGAUACAUUUCUAAGUAAAAAACAGUUUGAAAAGAAAUCACUACCACAAUACCAAACACUAUCUAAUUUAAUGAGUUUUGAGCUUAUAACAUACCUUUAGUUUCUAAUAAGUUUUUUUUAUUUGGUUUGGAUUGAUUUUUCAAAAAGAUUUAAAAUUGAAACUCAACUGAAACGUUUUUAAUUUUUCUAACAAAAAAAAAAUUCAAAAUUCAAAAAACUGUUUGGUUAAUUUUGGGUCAAUUUCUAUGAUUAAUGUUCUCAUCCCUAAUAAUAACAAUCUCUCUAUUUACAUAGUAUUCACAUUGUAUAUGGCAAUAUGUUUAAUUUGGAAACCUAGAAUUAGCAAAAAAAAACUAGAUUCUAUCAUAUGAAUUAGAAUUACAUGAUCGCACUUAUGCCAAAAGAUUGUUCUUUUUUUGGUCAAAUUAGCAGAGUAAAUAUAAAAAUUUAAGGGAAUAACACCGUUUGAGAAAGAUUUAACAAAAUAAUUUACUUUCAACUUGUCACGCUUCAAAAGCUUGAUAUUUACUAAAUGUCGUUAUUCCAACACAUGGCAAGUAAUUGUUCUUCUUUAGAAUAGCGAUAUUUAGUAAAUGUUAUUAUUCUGAAGCAUGACAAUAAGAAACUCCAAUUUACUGACCGACUGGUUUGAUUAAGUUAUAUUAACCGGUCAAUUGUAUCACACAAAAACGAUAAUUUUAUAAUUUUGUUUAUGAGUUAAAAUAUACAUCCCUAUCCAAUUUGUAGACUAAAAAAAUCUCAAAACGUUAUUGUAAUUAGGCUUAUGAUAAUGAGUGAUUCUAGAUAGUCAGAUGUGAGUUUGCCAUAACUAAAUGAAGACCUACUCCGAACAAAUUAUAUGGAUGGUUGUAUUUAUCGACUAGUAAGACAUGUGUAGGCCCAAGAGGAGGUCUAGUCAUGCCAGACCAGGAUAGCAACUCAAAAGAACCAUAAAUUUUGAUUUGAUCGUUGGAUCAUGCUCAAAUUUUUAUAGGAUUUUUUAGAUGCCAUUUUACCUAGGGCAACCUUACUGGGCUACACUAACCAUCACAUCUUUGGACAUAAAAAAAUCUCAUCGAGGACCUUUGGUUUUGGCAAUUUUGUGAUUUUCCUUGUUACUUUCAGAACCGGUCAACUAGUUUCACUAACUAUUAUGAACUAGUCGAUCGAUUGAGCAUGACAAUUAUCUUGUCAUGCUUCAGAAGCACCACAUUUACUUCAGAAGCGUGACAUCUACUAAAUGUUGCUAUUCUGAAAUGUGACAACUAUUUUGUCGUGUUUUGAAAUAUCGACAUUUAGUAAAUGUUGUGUUUCUAAAGGGCGAUAAGGUGAAAGUGUGCUAUUCCACAAAAAAAAUUUGCUUUUGUGUCAUUUCAUCAUUUAUUUUAAUUUGUGUGUUAAUUUCCUAAUUUAUCCUACGCCAGAAAGGAAUUGGAGUUGUGAUGGAUGCAAAAUUCUCAACAAGAAAUAACUAAGAAGGUAUAAUUCAUCGUGAUUGACACGAGGGUGAUUGAGGGGAAAAGUCUUGGUACGUGAAUCAAGGUUGUCAAUUCCAUUUCGUUCACUCCCCCGUCAUUGAAAGGAGGGUGGUUGAGGGGAAAAAUCUUGCUAUGUGAAACUUCGAGUGACGGACCAAUGUUUCCAUCAAUGACUCAAGUGUCUGUGAAGGAAACGAAAAUAAUGGGGCUUUGACAAGUUCUUUAACCUCUCAAGCAGUAUUUAAGUCCUGUUUGUCUACAUGGCCAACUCGCUAUCAGUUGAGAAGGGAGGAAAGAAAAGUAAAGGGCUCUUUCCUGUUGUCUUGCUCGGGAUACCGUGAACGAAACGGUCCAUAUUUUUGUCAUUAGACUAGAGGAGGUUGUUGGGUUAUUUCCAGAACUCAAACACACACAAUUUACGUGGUUCGGCAACUUGCCUACUCCACGGAGCUACUGGGUUGUAUUAAUUACUCAAAGAAACAAUACAACAACAAAGGAGGAGGAGAUAAAACUCAACUCAACUCAACUCUACUCUCUCAAGCUCUCUGUUCUCUCUUCUCUCUGUGUUUCACUCUCUGCAACUCAUCAGUUCUUCACGCUACAAUGACACACAGGGGGCACAUACAUAAAUAUACAAAUAAUGGGAGUGGGGGUGUCCUCCACCAUGUGCAAAGUGGGGGAUUAGUUAUUCCACUUGCACAUGGUGGGGCAAUUGUUGUCUCCAUAAUGCUAACAAUCUCCCACUUGGAGACAAACAAUGAAAUCCUUUUUAUCCUUGAAGGCCGACUGAAGUUUUACACAACUUCAGUUUAUCAAGUGUAACUCCUUUGGUUAACAUGUCGGCUGGGUUCUUGCUUCCACAGACCUUUUCUAGCAUUAGUUGCUCGUCGUCCAGCAGUUGUCGGAUGAAGUGAUAUUUGAUCUGAAUAUGCUUCGUCCUGGAGUGAAAUGCUGGAUUCUUGGCAAGGAAGAUUGCACUCUGACUGUCGCUAUAUAAAGUACCUUUUCCAUUCAACUUGCCCAAUUCUUUCAAGAAACUCUGCAACCAUACUAUCUCUUUUGCAGAUUCUGAGACUGCAACAUAUUCAGCUUCUGUUGUUGAAAGAGCAACGAUCUUUUGCAAGGUAGAACUCCAGGAAACAGCAGUACCUCCUAGAGUAUAAACAUAUCAUGUAGUGCUCUUUCUGCUAUCAACAUCUCCUGCUAGAUCAGCAUCUACAAAACCUUCAAGUUUCAAACCACCAGUUGUGAAACUAAGACAAGUUUCUGAUGAACCUUUUAAGUACCUCAUGAUCCAUUUCACCGCCUCCCAAUGUUGCUUUCCAGGAUUGCUCAUAUAUCGGCUUACAACUCCCACUGCAUGGGCAAUGUCUGGUCUGGUACAGACCAUAGCAUACAUCAAAGAGCCGAUAGCUGAGGCGUAUGGAAUCUUAUCCAUGUAUCCACUUUCUAGCUCAGUUUUGGUGACUGAUCUUUGCUGAGCUUGAAAUGAUUCCCCAGUGGUGUACUUACUGGUUUAGCAUUAUCCAUACUAAACCUGCUGAGAACCUUCUUGACAUACUCUGUUUGUGAGAGCUUUAGUAUGCCUUUGUCUUUAUCUCUGAUGAUUCUCAUGCCAAGUAUUUGUUUAGCAGCUCCCAGAUCCUUCAUUUCAAACUGUUUCGACAACUGCUGUUUCAGCUUAUCAAUCUCCUCAAUGCUGGAUCCUGCAAUCAACAUAUCAUCUACAUAUAAUAGUAGAAUGAUGUAGGAGUUGUCAAAAUGUUUGACAUAGCAACAAUGAUCAGCUUGGCAUCUUGUAUACCCGGAACUGCACAUGAAGUUGUCAAACUUCUUGUACCACUGUCUUGGAGCUUGCUUCAAACCGUAUAGGCUUUUCUGUAGCUUGCAGACUUGAUUCUCCUUUCCUUGCAUUGCAAACCCCUCUGGCUGUUGCAUGUAAAUAUCUUCCUCCAAGUCACCAUGAAGGAAUGCUGUUUUUACAUCUAACUGUUCAAGAUGUAAAUUUUCUGCAGCUACUAUCCCCAGAACAACUCUGAUUGUUGUGAGCUUCACAACUGGAGAAAAAAUCUCAGAGUAGUCAAUGCCUUUCUUCUGUUGAAACCCUUUGACAACAAGUCUUGCCUUGAACCGUUUGCUUCCGUCAUGCUCAGUCUUCACUCUGUAACCCACUUAUUUUGCAAGGCCUUCUUUCCUUCAGGUAAUGUUGUUAGCUCCCAAGUCUUGUUCUUCACAACGAACUCAUCUCAUCCUUCAUGGCUAACUCCCACUUGCUUGAGUUUCCAUCUUGUAAGGAUUCUUCAUAAGAUAACGGUUCACCACCAUCUGUCAGCAAAAUAUAAUUCAGUAAAAGUGUGAACCGUUGCGGGGGCUUUAUCGUCCUCGAAGACCUGCGAACAGCUGGUUCAAGUUGCUCGCAUCUUCUUGUGUGUGUGGGCACAGAUGUGCUUGAAUCUUCUUGUAAAGACUCUUGAUUGUUGUUCUGCUUAGUAACAUCGGGAAGCCCUUCUAAUCUUAUGAAUUCAGAUCUUUGUGGACUUGUAUCUGAAUCAGCCAUCUCUGUUUCUCCACUUGAUCUGUCUUUGUACAUAACUUUCUCAUUGAAGAUCACGUUCCUGCUUCUGAUAAUCUUUCUAUUCUGAUCAUCCCAGAACCGAAAUCCAAAUUCUUCAUCUCCAUAGCCAAUGAAGAAACAUUUCUUGGAUUUGGCAUCUAACUUGUUGCGAGCAUCAGAAUCUAUGUGAACAUAGGAAACACACCCAAAGACCUUCAAAUGAGAGAGUGGUACCUCUUUUCCUCUCCAUACUUCCUCGGGCAGUCUGAAUUCCAAAGGAACUGAUGGUCCACGGUUGAUCAAGUAAACUGCGGUAUGAACUGCGUCAGCCCAGAAUGUUUGAGGUAACCCAGAAUGCAACCUCAUGCUUCUAGCUCGUUCAUUGAUGGUCCUGUUCAUCCGUUCAGCAACGCCAUUCUGUUGCGGUGUGCCUGGAACGGUCUUUUCCAUUCUGAUACCAUUGACAGCACAAUACUCCUUGAAACCUCCAUCAAUGUAUUCUCCUCCAUUAUCAGAUCUCAAGCAUUUCAACUUUAGACCUGAUUCAGUCUCAACCAUAGCCUUCCAUUUCUUGAAUGUUUCAAACACAUCAGAUUUAUUUUUCAGAAAGUAAACCCAUACCUUCCUGCUGAAAUCAUCAAUGAAAGUCACAUAAUACCGAGAACCUCCAAGAGAUGCUACUGGAGACGGUCCCCAUAAAUCUGUGUGUACCAGUUCUAGCUUGCUUGGUCUUAAGGUCCUGCCAACCUUCAAGAAACUGACCUUCUUCUGUUUUCCAAGAACACAGCUUUCACAAAUGUCUAGAUCGACAUUUUUUAACUCUGGCAGCUUUCCCUUCGACUGAAGUAUCUUCAUCCCCUUUUGACUCAUAUGGCCAAGUCUACAAUGCCAUAGAUGUGCUUGAUUUUCUGCUUCAGUUGAGGCAAUGAUGUCUGCAAAUCUUGUGGUCAUAUACAGGGUGCCGGUUUUCUUUCCACGAGCUAAAACCAUUGCUCCCUUUGAUACUUUCCACAUUCCUCCAGCAAAAAGUAUUGAAUGACCACUAUCAUCAAGUUGUCCGACAGAGAUCAACUUUUCUUUAAUUCAGGAACAUGCCUUACAUUCUGCAAGGUCCAUAUAGAUCCAUUCAUUGUCUUGAUUUGCACAUCUCCUAUACCCACAAUUCAGUGGUGUUCCAUCGGCCAGAUAGACUACACCAUGAUCUCCUCCAACAUAAUUUUGCAGCAUUUCAUUGUGUGGCGUACAGUGGAAUGAAGCACCAGAAUCAAGAAUCCACUCAUCAAUUUGACUUUGUACAGCAAGAAUUAAAGCAUCUUGUACCUCAUCUGUGGUAGCGUUUGCAGAGUCAGCUUCAGGUUUCUUCGGUUUUGUGCAAUUCCUACUGAAAUGACCAGGUUUGCCACAAUUCCAACAUUCAACCUGCUUUCUGGAUCCAAACUUGCUUUUACUUCUGUAUCUGGAUUUUGAUCUGCCUCUGGAUGAGCCUCUAUCGUGUCUCCUCCCUCGAGUGUUGAUGUUGAGAGCUGAUCCUGAGCUUGAACUUUCACCCGAGUCUUUCCUUCGCACUUCUUCAGCCAAAAUCAAGUCUCGAAUGUCAUCAUACUUCAGUUUGGAUUUUCCAGCUGAAUUGCUCACGGCUGUCCUCAUGCCUUCCCAACUGCUUGGAAGUGAAGCUAGCAAGAUGAGUGCACGAAUCUCAUCAUCAAACUCAAUCGCAACAGAUGAUAAUUGAUUUGUGAUGGUAUUAAAGUUGUUGAGGUGUUGUGUCACAGAAGUGUUUUCGACCAUCUUCAAGUUGAACAACUUUUUCAUCAGGUGCACUUUAUUAUUUGCUGAUGGCUUCUCAUACAUCCCAGACAAGGCUUCCAUCAAUUUUGCAGUGGAUUUUUCUUUCGUAACAUUGUGAGCAACUCUUCUUGAUAACGAUAGCCUGAUAAUGCCCAGAACUUGUCUAUCAAGAAGUUGCCAUUCUUCUGCUUCCAUCUUUUCUGGUUUGCUUCCCAAUAAGGGAAGAUGAAGGUUCUUCCCAUAUAAAUAAUCCUCAAUUUGCAUUUUCCAGUAUCCAAAAUCUGUUCCGUCAAAUUUUUCAAUUCCAGCAGCCUUUAUUUCAUCUGCCAUUUUUAUUAAUUCUCCGAUUCGAAUUUCCCAAAUCUGACCUUACAGAUGUGUCCGGAACGGCCAAAAACCUUGGAAAUGACACUGAGAUCACCCCAAUCGGACUUCGGAUGGCUCAGAUUUUAGCAAUCAAAGUUUUGGAUUAACGGACGGUUCAGAUGCAGCCGCGUGUCAGCCAGAGUACCGCCUGCGUCGCACCGGAUAAAAACUCAGUAGCGGUUCUGAUGAAGACACGUGUCAGCAGAUUACAGCCUGCGUCGCACCGGAUCAAAACUCAGUAACGGUGCAGAUUAAGCCACGUGUCAGCCGAUUAGUGCCGACACUGAUCAAACUCAAACGGUGCAGAUUCAGCCACGUGUCACGAUUAGAGCCUGAGUCGCACCGGAUCAAAACUCAGUAACGGUCAGAUUAGCCACGUGUCAGCGAUUAGCCUGCGUCGCACCGAUCAAAACUCAACGGUGAUGAUGUAGCCACGUGUCAGACGAUUACCGUCUGCGGUGCACUGGAUCAAAACCCAGAUGGAUGACGUGGCAGGUGACGUGGCGUUGACCGUGCGACUUGCUGACGUGGCGGGUCAGACCCGACCCGUUUUGCAGAAACGGGCGAAGAAGGAGCGUGCGCGCGAGGCGCGUUGUGCGCGUGGGCAGUCGUGCGGUGCGCGUGUGGGCGCGUGCGGGCAUGCAGGACGUCGGUUCUUUGCCGGGUUUUCACUAGUGGAUUCGUCCGGUUGUCCUCUACACGAUGGUAUGGUCAAAAACACGUUUUGAGAACAUUGAUUUUUGAGUUUGGAUCAAACACCCUCUUUGUCAAGAACAAGCUCUGAUACCAGUUGUUGGGUUAUUUCCAGAACUCAAACACACACAAUUUACGUGGUUCGGCAACUUGCCUACUCCACGGAGCUACUGGGUUGUAUUAAUUACUCAAAGAAACAAUACAACAACAAAGGAGGAGGAGAUAAAACUCAACUCAACUCAACUCUACUCUCUCAAGCUCUCUGUUCUUUUCUCUUCUCUCUGUGUUUCACUCUCUGCAACUCAUCAGUUCUUCACACUACAAUGACACACAGGGGGCACAUACAUAAAUAUACAAAUAAUGGGAGUGGGGGUGUCCUCCACCAUGUGCAAAGUGGGGGAUUAGUUAUUCCACUUGCACAUGGUGGGGCAAUUGUUGUCUCCAUAAUGCUAACAGAGGUUACACGAGAUUGUAGCUCUCCUACGCGAAACUUCACAUGAGGACCAAGAAUCUCUCUGUUGACAUAGCAUUCACAACUAAUAUGAAUAGGCAUAUGGUAACAUGUUGAUUUUGGAAAUCUAGAACUGGCAGAAAAACUAGAUUCUAUGAAAUGAAUUUUAAUUAAAUGGUCGCCCUCUUAAUGCUUAUGCCAGAAGGGACUAGGAGUCAUUAUGGAUGCGAAAUUCUCAACAUGUGUAUUUGAAUGCAUUAUAUUUAAAUUGUGUUAUUAAUUCUUUUCUUCAUAAAAAGCUACAUACCAUUAACAAGAGAAAAGGAAACAGAAAUCUAAAUUUGUUUGCUGGGUCUAUGCUCUAAUUAGGUUUAGUUAUGUGUGCUUCUAUUAAUUUCUCUAAAUUCUAUAUAUGUAUUGGCCAGGAAAAAAAAUAUCACACUGCAUAAAUUUAUUUUAGAGAAUAACAUAUAUAUAUUUGAAUUUGUUAGGACAACUUGACUAGUGCAACAAGACAAAAAAAGAAGAAGAAAAAAGAAAAAGAAAGAUAGUUGGUCGAGAUAAAAGGACAAGGAACUAAAAAACGCAACUUCGUUAUACCAAAAAAAAUGCUAGAAAAAUACUUUCUCAUCGUCAAUGUAAAAAAGGAGGAAUCCAAACGCAUAUACAAGUCCAAAUCGGCUAUUAUAAAAAAUUACAUUACUGAGUGUCUUUUUCUUCUUCUUCUUCUUCUUUUUUGCUUUUUAUUUUGUUUUUUUAAGUUCUUUUUUCUUUUUUCUUUGUUUUUUUUAAUCUAUUUCUUUUCUUUGUUUUUUUUUUAAUGAAUGUUUUUUUCAAUUUUUUUUUUGUUAAUGUUAAAUUCUUUUCUAUUUAGUUAUUAAAUUUUUAUAAUACAGAUUCCGGUUUUGAUGGGUUAACCCAUAUUUGUUUUUCUGGUUUUUUUUUUUAAUUAAUUUUUUCGAGUGCAGCCCACAGUGAAACGCUUAGCUAUCUUUUUUUUUUCUACUUUGUUUUUUUGAGCUGUUUUUUUCUUUUGCUUUUUUCUUUGUUUUUUUUUAAGUUGUUUUGUUUUCUUUGUUUUUUUUAAUGAAUUUUUUUUGUUUACUUUUUUUUUGUUAAUGUUUAAUUUUUUUUUAUUUAGUUAUCAAACUUUCAUUACAUGGGUUCCGGGUUUGACUAGUUAACCCAGAUUUUUUUUCUGAUUUUUUCUUUUUAAUUAAUUUUUUCGUUUAAUUUAGUUUGUUAAUUUUAAUUUUUUUUUAUUUAGUUAUCAAACUUUCAUGACACGGAUUCCGGGUUUGACGGGUUAACCCAUCUAAUUCUGGGUUAACCCGUAAUUUUUUUUUCCUAUUCAGUUAUCAAACUUUCAUGACACGAAUUCCAGAUUUGACGGGUUAACCUGGUUUGAAGGGUUAACCCAUAGUUUGUUUUUCCUAUUCAGUUAUCAAACUUUCAUGACACGAAUUCCAGAUUUGACGGGUUAACCUGGUUUGAAGGGUUAACCCAGUUAAUUCAUAUUUUUUUUCUUUUUCUUCAUUAGUUUUUUUCCUAUUUAAUUAAUGUUAAAAGAAUGAAGCAGCUGAAUAAAUUGAGUAAUUAUUACCAAUGAAAAUUAUUGAUAAUUUAUAUGAAAUUACCAGAAUUAUAUAAAAGACCGCUUCAACUUUUUUAACCUGGUUGCUCUGUCUCAACUAGUCGGGCGGUUCAAUUAAUUUCUAGAAAUCAGUUUACUUUCAGCAUUUUCACUAUCUUUCCCUUACAACCGAAGGAAGCAUAUCUUAGAAUAUCUCAUGGAUUUGGACUGGAUUGGGUGUUUUGGUUUUUGAUGAGAUGCUCCAAGAAAAAUAUCAGGCUCGCUGGAUGUCGUUGUUUGUGGUAUUGACAGUUGAUGACUUUUUUUUUUUUUUUACUUUUCAAAGUUAAUGAUUCUGACAUUUCGAAGGAGGUGGGAAAUUAUCUUCGUCUGUGAAGUAGUGUUGAAUGGUGGAUCAAUAACUCACUGUCUGCUUUGCUACUAUUCCUAUCCCAUGACUCUGACAUUUCAAAGGACGACCAGGUAGGGGUGUUCUCCUUCACCUUUUCAUUGCAUUACCGGUAGCUUCCACUCCGAAAUUCAAUAGUUUUUGUUGGAGAAAAAAGAAAAGGAAAAAAGAAGAACAGUUUGUGCAAAAAUUGCGUAUACACUGUGUAUCACUUCAGCCUUCCCCAUGUUUAGAGGAAUGAACGUCCUUUUGGCUUGCUACAUAGCUUUUCUUUUACAGCUAUUAGUCUUCCAAACUUGCCAUUCUAGCACCAUCACUACUCAUAGUGCUCCUUCUUCAUGCGGCAAUAUCCAAAACAUAAGAUACCCUUUCAGACUACACACUGAUCCACAAAGCUGCGGAAACAAUAAUUAUGCUCUGAUUUGCGAGAACAAUAUUUCUACAGUAUUAUGUUUGUAUUCAGGUAAAUACUACGUGCAGGCAAUCAACUACGGUAACUACACAAUCCGAGUGGUAGAUGCUGGUGUACAAGAUAAUUGCUGCUCCAUCCCUCGUUAUUCUUUGGCACCUGAUGACUUCAGUUACGGAGAUCCAUACACAUGGUAUAACUACCAGGUGCCGCCGCCGGGAGUGAGUGAACUUUUCGUGGACUAUUGGGGGUACUGGUACUUAACUCCACUAUCACAGCCUAUGAUUUUCAUGAGCUGUGAAAAUACGGUGAAUUCAACUCUCUAUGUGGACACUGUUGGAAUAUUGCCAAUUAUGUUUACAUUGUCAAAGAAGGAGGCUUGUUGGUGGCAACCACCAACCUUGACUUUGGUAGCCAUCUUUGUUGAAGAAGAGAUGAGUUUGGCAGCCACCAUUGAUGACAAAGUAGCAAGAGGAGCUGUCAUUGAAGCCUAUAAAUAGACACCAAGAGUGCAUCACAAAAUGAGAGAGAGAGUCUUGUAGGAGAGCUACAAAAGAGAGAAGAAGAGAGAAAGAAAGAGAAGGGCUGCCACCAGCAGCUGCUGCCCUAUGUAGCAAAGAGAGAUGGGAGUUGAGUGAUGAGAUCCUCCUUCAUGUAUUAUUGUAUUCUUUCUCUAUCUCUAAAUAAAAUGAACCUCUCCCGUGGAUGUAGGCAAUUUGCCGAACCACGUUAAAUAUUGUGUCUCAGUGUGCUUACCCCUCCUAUGAGCAAAGAUCAGUACAUCACCGGUCCCGGAUUCCGCACAACAAUUGGUAUCAGAGCCCCGUUCGUCGGAAAACAGAAGAGUUUUGGGGUAUAUCCGAAUUUUCAAAGUUGUCCAAAACAAGUUUUGAUCAUUCCAAAGUGUAGAGCUCAUCAAGACGAACUCACUGCCGCAAAAAUCAGCCAAAUCGGAGUUCGGGGUAGCCCACACGCGCCGCCUGAAUAUUCAGCCAGAUCGCCGGUCCCGGAUUCCGCACAUCAGACACGGCUCCCUACGGCCUUAACUACGGAUCAAUAAAUUAUUCCAACUCUUCUCUUGUGACUCGUUCGAAUUAUGUGACUCUUGGGGGCAUGAAGGCCUCGGAUUUGAUGGAACUGUGCACCAUAGAGAAAAUAUUUUUUCUUCCAAAGAAGAACUACACAGACAAUUACUCCUUUGAAGAAAUACACAGUGACCUGGCAUAUGGGUUUGAGCUUUCAUGGUACAACAUCUACUGUGAAAAUUGCACAAGGGGUUGCUACAUCAACAGCUCAGACCAUCGUCAAUAUUGCAUUCCCGCAGAACGUAUGUAACACUUGAUGAUUAAGUUGCAUCACUUUGAUUCAUAAGACCAUAUAUAACUUGUGAUUUGAGGUGGUUUCAUAUAUUUUCUCUGGCUUACUUUUCAAUUUUCAUUUUUUUCUGCGCAUUAGCACAAUAUUGCACUGUCCCCAGAAGUUCAUGUACAAAUUCUGUGCAUCCAUUACCUGUGGAUUCUACUAUAGUGGACUGAUCAUAAGAUUCAUUCAUGUUCAUAUUGUAAAAUAUUCUGACUAUAAUGUGGUUUAAGGUAGUUGGACAGAUUCAUUGGUCUUUUGCAAUUUCAGGAUUGACACAGUGAAACGUUUGGUUCAUCUUAACUUGAACAUGGAUACACAUUAAUUAGUUCAAGUCACAUUAUUAAAUUGUGUGCGCUCUUUUCUAUUUUCUUUUGCAUUUACUAUUGCGUAUACCAUUAGAACUCGUUUCUUAACCUAAAGCUUCAACAGAUAAUUUUGACACAGUGAAACGUUUGGUUCAUCUUAACUUGACCAUGGAUACACAUUAAUUAGUUCAAGUCACAUUAUUAAUUAAAUUGUGUGUGCUCUUAUCUAUUUUCUUUCGCAUUUACUGUUGCGUAUACCAUUAGAACUCUUUUUAAACCUAAAUUCUCGACAGAUUUUGGUGAAAGCUUCUGGGAAACACUACUCUACGCAGUGAUAGGUGCGAAUUCUCCUUCUGCAUCUCACCUUGUUUGUGUAUUCUUAAGUGUUUCUUCAAACGACUUAUUUGUGAAAUAAGGAUUGUUGUUUCUUGAAUAGUAAUUGUAAUUUUGUUCACCAUUUUCUGCAGGUUAUAUCCAUUUUAUUUGGUAAGAGAUUCCAUCAUUUCUUUAGUUUCGCAACAAAUUUCUAGUGGAGACAACAAAUAAGAUCACAAAACUUGAUUGUUUUCUGGAAAUUUCCUACACAGCACUGCUUCAUGGGCUAAAAGUUGUUUGUGGGACUCCAUGUGUGAUUAUAUUUUUGAUCUACAAAUGGCGAAGGAGACAUUUAUCAGUAUACGAUACAGUUGAACAAUUCCUACAGGGUCAGAAUAACCUUAUGCCAGUAAGGUAUUCCUACUCAGAUAUCAAGAAGAUUACUAGAGGUUUCAAGGAGAAAUUAGGUGAAGGAGGCUUUGGUACAGUUUACAAAGGAAAGCUUCGCAGUGGGCGUUUUGCAGCAGUAAAAUUGUUGGGAAAAUCAAAAGCUAAUGGACAGGAUUUCAUAAAUGAAGUUGCUACCAUAGGAAGGAUUCACCAUACUAACGUGGUGCAGCUAAUCGGUUUUUGCGCUGAAGGAUCAAAGCGAGCUCUUGUAUAUGAUUUCAUGCCUAAUGGAUCUCUUGAUAGACACUUGUUUUCUCGAGAAGGAUCAAUCUCUUUAAGCUGGCAAAAACUGCAUCAGAUUUCCCUUGGAGUGGCUCGUGGUAUCGACUAUCUUCAUUUAGGUUGUGACAUGCAAAUACUUCAUUUUGAUAUCAAGCCUCACAACAUUCUUCUCGACGAAAAUUUCACUCCAAAAGUUUCUGACUUCGGGCUCGCUAGGUUGUACCCCACUAAUGGCAGCAUAACAUCUCUUACUGCAGCAAGGGGCACCAUAGGAUACAUGGCUCCUGAACUGUUCUACAAAAACAUUGGACGUGUCUCCUAUAAAGCUGAUGUUUAUAGCUUUGGAAUGCUGCUAUUGGAAAUGGCAGGCAAAAGGAAGAAUGUAAACGCAUUGGCAGAAAAUUCAAGUCAAAUCUACUGGCCAUAUUGGGUUCAUGACCAAGUAUCUGAUGGAAAGGCCAUAGAAAUCGGAGACGAUGCCACGGAGGAAGAACGUAAGAUCGUCAAGAAGAUGAUUAUGGUUGGAUUGUGGUGUAUACAAAUGAAACCCAUGGAGCGGCCUACAAUGAAGAAUGUUGUGGAGAUGCUUGAAGGAGAUUUGGAAAACUUGCAAUUGCCUCCUAAGCCUGUCUUCAAUCUAGAUGUGACGCCACCAAACAUUGAAGGAGAGUCAUCAUCGUUGUCAGGGAUUCUACCGAAUCAACCAGUUUGGUUGAAAAUGCAUACUAAGUGAUAUGAUGUGGAAUGCUCUGCUUACAUGCAGGGAAAAUGAUAGAAUAAUGGUGCUUUCGGACUUGGUUGUGAUGAUUUAGUCUGCAAACAUUAUGAUAAUUUGCAAUACUUCCUUUUAUCUGAUUUGUGUUUAGCUAAUUUAGAGUUCAAGCUGCGGCUUGUUUCUUCGGUUUGGUCUAUAUAAUCAUCAUACAAAGAUAUUCUGUAUUGGCAAUCAUAGCAGUUGGCGAGGAUGGAACAUCCUCCAUGAUAACUGUUCCAUGUUCUACAUAUUAAUUAUCCUAUUUGUCUCCAGCAGAGUAAUAUUUUGGCUACAAAUUAACAAGAGACUAUCACAGGGAUUAUAUAAACAAGUUGAUGCAUGAAAAGACGAGUCUCUAUUUAUAGGCAGCCACUAAAAGUAGCUUCGGAGACCACAAAUACAAGUCAAGUCUCUCUAGUAAUCCUUCCACUACAAGUAGCUUAAUUUCAUUUUCUUCCACCAACAAUGCCUUCGUGUCAAUGUUCAGCCCCAUGAUAAUCGAUCUGGCGUCACCAUUUGCACAUUACCAUAUCUUGCAUAAGCCACGAGGAACCAAUCACAACAAAACAUUGAAAACCAUGACCAUAACGUGUGCUGUGAAAUGAAUAUUGAAACAGAUGGGUGAAUUUGAUGCAGAAAUCUUCUCUUUCUCCAAAAAAAAGAAAAAACGAAAGGUAGAGAGGAGACAAUGAAGCUCGCUUACCGGUCUUGGCAUUUCACCGGAGAGCUCUGCUUCUAACUGUGAAAUGCGUCUUCUUGUGGGCAAGAGGCAAGGUCUUCAAAAAUGCUCAACUGUGUUCAACAAACUUUCAGGAUCUACUUCAAUUUUCUCAAGAGAAUGGGAAAUAGUGACAAUCAAUUUACACCCAUUUGUUCUACGAGAUAUUCCCACUUUCUCAGGAUGAAAAUCAUCCCACAAAUCAUCAAGAAUGAUGACAUGGUUUUGUAUCACACUCAAUGCUGUCCAUAGCUCCAGCUCUACUCGUCACAUCUUUUCUUUUCGGAAGACAUAAACCAAAAGCUUCGGCAAUGAGAUCCUGCAAUGCGUGAAUGCUCAAUUCUUGUGAAAGAAAAUGUCUGGUUUAUCUUGAAGCUGAUUAUGGAUAUGUGCAGCCAAAGUUGUCUUUCCCACUCCUCCCAUCCCGUAAAUGCCAAUGCAUGAGACCUCACCACUCAACAACCAAGACCAGACAUCCUUCAUAUUUCUUUCAAUAGCUUGACCCACUAGCUUCGUUGUCGGGACUACAUAUCUUUUAGUCCUACGUCGCUUAUGUACAGGCCUUUUAGAAUAGCUUACCGUGUAAAUUCUCAAGUCAUGUUCUCUAUAUAAAUUCUUAACAAAACAUCCCUCGUUGAUGAGGAUGAGAUGUUAUUCGAGAUCAUUUCAAAUGCCUGACAUGUUUUCUCUGUUCUCUGUCUAGGCUCGGGUUCAUCUGGCAUAAGUACAACAUGAGCUCUAGGUUCCUCAACAAUCCCAGUCUCCCCCCUGAUCCAGAUAUCCAUCCAUCCUAGGCUCUCAUCAAAAAGAGGAGGUUCUUCUUGAUCCAUUUCUAAACACCGCGCAGGAGUUGAAGCUGCAUUAAUUGCCUCGUUAUUGCUUGAACUUGGCACGCUCUUAUCUACAGGCCUGUUAGAAGAGCUUCCUCUCUCAGCAACAGACUGCAUCAAUUCCCAAGUCAUGUUCUCUAUACCACUGCUCGACUCAACAAUAUCCUUCAUCAAGGAAGAUGAGAUGUUAUUCAUAUCCAUUUCAAAUGCUUGACCUGCUGGCUCUGUUCCCAAUCCAGUCUCAGGUGCAUCAGGCAUAAGUAUUUUAAAAUUAAAAUAUCAAAAGAUUUAAUUGUUGAAUUGAAUUCAAUGUUUUUUUAAGUGAUUAAAAAGACAAUUUUCCUCCAAGAAGCGAUUGUGUCCCUUUUUGCACCGUUUGAUCUUUCAAAAUCAGGUUUAAAGCCUUCGUGCUCUUAUUUAUUUAGAUCAAUUCUGUUAUUUUCUCUAGAAUGUUUUAUUUUUUAAAAAAAAAAAAAAUUGGACUUUGAGUUGUCUCCUACUAGAGGUAGAUUAAAAAGGCAAUUCUCCUAGGCGCUUAGACUUCUGGCAUAAGAACGACAGGAGCUCUAGGUUCCUCGACAAGCUCAGUCUCCCCCCCAAUCAGAAAACCCUCCCGUCCUCGUUCAUCCGAAAGAGGUUGUUCUUCUUGUUCCAUUUCUAAGCCCCGCAAAGCAGUUGAAGCUGCAUUAAUUCCCUCGUUAUUGCUUGAACUUGGCACACUCUUAUCUAAAAGCAUUUUAGAACAGCUUCCUCUCUCAGUAACAGCCUACAUCAAUUCUAUACCACUGCUUAGCUCAACAUCCCUCGUCAAUGAAGAUGUGAUGUUAUUCAUAUCCGUUUCAAAUGCAUGAACUGCUGGCUGUGGCUCUAUUCCCAAUCCCGUCUCAGGUGCAUCAGGCAUAAGCAUGCUAGGAACCAUGGUCUCCUCAGUAAGCACAAUCUCUCCCCCAGUCAUCCCAUCCAUCCAUGAAAAAUCAUCCAAAAGAUGUUGUCCUUGUUGCAUUUCUAAAUCUUGCGCAGGAUCUGAAUCUGCAGCAACUAUUAUAUUAUUGCUUGAACUUGGCAUACUCGCACGCAUUCUGUCAGGAAGCUUAUCAAACGCUGCUCGCUGAACAUCUGGAGUUACUUUUUCACAAAUUUUAACACCACCCCGUUCAACUCUUGCCAGAUGAUAUUUCAUCCUUGUAGUGGAAGUUCUUCCAGCUAAUGUCUUCCCACAAAAAAUGCACUUCAAUAAACCACCAUCCACUUUCUCAAAAUAACACUGAAAUGGAUCACUUCCUCCAACCAUUUUUUCUUCUGUGUCCCUACCUACAGACAUAACAAAGAACUUUCAGAAAAUUGAAUUAAAAUGGAACUUAAACUAAUUGAAAAAAAGAAGAAGCUAAGUUUAAGAUUAAAAAAAAUUGAUUACAGGUGUUUCACUGUCUAAACCAAAGUCAAGUUAAAUCACUCCAAAGAUCAAAGUGUUCUUCUCUUUUUACUUUCCCAAUAAUUCUACAACUGGUCAUAUCAGUAAUUUAAUAACCAGCAUGUUUCUUUUUUCUUAGAAGAAUCAAACUACAUGAGUUGGAAAAGAAAUGGUGUGAAAUUAGAGCUAAUUAAAAUUAAUCAAACUUAAUUACCUGAGCAGCAGAUGCAGCAAGAUGUUAUCCAAUUAUUUGAUUAAAUCAGAAGAAAGAAGAUGACAGUAAGUGUGUUGGAGACGCGUGAUAGAGCUUCGGCUUGUGUGGUUGUGGAUAAGGAUAGAUUCAGACAGUCAGAGAAGCAGAUGACAGUGAAAAAAAGUAAAAUGGAUUUCUGUCGUUCAUCCGGCGAGGGGUGCUCUAGUGAAGGUGUGGGGGUAGGCGGUGGCUGAUGAUAGUCUCCUCGUGUGGUGGACAGCACGCCAACUUUGCAAACGAUGAGAAAGAGCACGAUCCACCACAAAACAGCAGAAGAGAAAGCAGUAGGCCGAGGGAAGAAAAGGGAGCAGAGUUGACCGAGAGAGAAGUAGAGCUGACCUAGAGAGCGGUAUCUUCACAAAUGGAGAGGUUUGUGUUUUCUGUAGGUGGUUUGUGAAACAUUAUUUGUAAUUUUUUUUAUGAUUUAAAAAUAUUUUAAAAUAUUUUAAAAAAAAAAUUUUACUUCAAAAUAAUAUAUAUUUUAAUGUUUUUAGAUUAUUUUAAUAUACUAAUAUCAAAAAUAAUUUUUUAAAAACUAAAAAAAAAUAUAUUAUUUUACUAUAUUUCUAAAUAAAAAUAUUUUAAAAAAUAAUUAUAAUCAAAUUUUCAAAUAAACUCAUGUAGUUGCUUUCAUUACAAAGACAUUUCACCGUGCGCACUCAAGUUAAUGAUGAAGAAUUGUAGGGCUCUUGGUUAUUACGUGUCAAUGAGUUGUUGGUGUCCCCAACAUUCGAGGUGCCAUCAAAUUUUUUUUCUUUUUCCUUUUUAAAGAUGUGAGCACGAUAACGUGAUUAUUGAAUUGUCGUUGAUUGUUUCCUUAUUAUUUUUGAUAUUUUAUUUUUAAUUUUGUAAUUUUUUAUUUUAUUCUUAUAUUUUAUAUCAAGAUUUUAUUUAUUUUCAGUUUUAUUUUUUAAUUAUAAUUUUUUAUAUUUUUUUAUUUCAGUUUUUAUUCUAUUAAUUUUUAAUUUUUUUAUUUGAUACUUUUAUUUAAAAUUUUAAUCGCUUUCAAUAAAGUUGUCGGUGGUGAGACAUACUCCGACGCAACCUGUGGUUGAAGGACAAAAAUAUAUGGUCUUUCUUUUCUGUUAUUUUCCGUGGUCCGCUACCUUUAAUUUCUUUCAUAGCUGAUCUUUCCCCCCAAAGCUCACUCAGGUCCAUAAGUUUGGCUUUUCCCUUUUCGUAAAAAUACGUAUUUCAUCUUAGAAAAAGAUAAAAAAUAAAGCAUGCAUUCGGGGUAAUUUUUUCCUUUUACGCUGAUCUUUUGUAAUUAUUAUGGUGAUGAGGGAUAUUUAUGUAUUUUAAUUAUAAUUUGUUAUAUGUUUUUUUUUUCAAUCCUUGUUUUUUUAAUUUUUAAUUUUUUUAUUAAAAUGUUUUUUGAUUUCAAUAAAAAAUUUAAGAGGUAAGACACAACUCCGCAGCAACCUGUGCUUCAACGACAAAAAAUACGAGUUUUUUUUUUUUUUCUUUGUCAUUGGUUCUCGAGCCACAAAACAAAGAAUCUUUGUCCUUGUUGAAGCAUUGGUCCGCCACUCUUAAAUUUUUUCACAGCAAGACUUUUCCCGCAUGCACCCUCAGGUCAAAGAUGAAGAAUAUUUGUAGGGUUCUUGGUUAUUCAUUCUUGUACCAAUAAAUCACGGUAUUACAAGGAUGAAAGAAGAAGGAUUAAUGCCAACCUAUUCAUCUCGUUGUUGAUCAACAAGGAAGGAACUUGAUAGAAAUAGACCCUUGAGAUUACUAUCCUAUCCAUCAAAAUCCUUCUAUCCGCCCUGCGAUUCCUUUAAAAUUAUGAGUUACAUUUAUUUUCUUCGCAAUUGAAGUAAGUUAGACUGGAUUGCCUAAAUAUGAUGAAUAAAGGGUUGGAUUUGCACAAUUAUUUACACAGUUUAAUUUGUUGAUUUGAUACAUCUCAAACAUACUAGACCACUAAGUUUACACAUAAUCCAUGAACGUAUCUCACAGGCCACAACAAUUUCCUUCAUUAUUGCUCACUAAUAUUUAUUACUGAAAAUAGUAACUUAACAGUGGUCUCUAGGGUCUUUUCUAGAUGUUUUGGGGCAGUUUAUUGGGGUUUUUGGUGGUCAUAAAUUAAAUUAAGUGAUGCCUAAUCCUUUUUUCUUUUUUUUUUUGUUAAUAGUCGAAAUUUUAUUAAAAAGAAAAAGCUAUAAAGAUAGUAGCCUAACUUACAUCAGAAGAUCAAGUAGAGGAAAGGGAAGCACAAAAACUAUUGCAUGAAACAGGGGAUAGCAACAAAAAAAGAACAAACAAAUCAAAAGAAACUAAUUCCUCCCGACUAAACAUUUGAUCUCCCACCAACAAUCUUUUAGCAAUAUUUUGUUGAAAAAGUGUACCUCUAAUCUUACAGUUUUUUUUUAGUUUUAUUAUCUUCAUUUGUAUUCUAUCAUUUGAGUUUUCAGACUUGUAGGUAAACAUAAAUGUAUCUAGCAACAAUUUCUCGAAGUUUUUUUUAUUGAAUCUAUGAAGAGAAUUUCAAGAAGUUAAUGACGAAUUUAUAUAAAUUCUUGUAUUAAAACAAUCAAAUUAUAUUAAUUUUCAUUGACUUGGUCUUGAUGAUGACUUACCAAAAUAAUUUUCAAUUGUCGAUGCUCCAUAGAGUGUUUAAGGCACGAGCCACUCUCUCCCACGGAAACAAUGAUUUUUAGUCCAAGUUAUCAUGUGCGUGCUUGAAAGUUUUUUUGUCCCGUAAUUGCAGCAUUUUACACCUAGAACGAUCGAUAGCAAAAACAAGCUGUAAUUUUUCUUGCAAAGAUCUGUAAGGUAAUUAUAAGAUCUGGGCUUGGAUUUAGAACUAGAAAAAUCUUCUAAAUGAAUAAUAGAAAAGAAAAGAGAAGAGAAGAGAAGAAAGAAAGCUAAGCUUUACAACUGGAAAAAAACAUUAUCACCCUCCCGAUGACUCCUUACAUAAAUAGCAUGACGUCAUACCUUUACUAUAAGGUAAACGUUCCAAUACCAAAAUACAAAACAAUCCCUAGAAAUCAUAAAAUCGUAAUUUCAUCCCCGGAAUAAUAGCAUAUGGCUAGAAAUCAUGGAACAUUCUCAACUGUGUUCAACAAACUUUCAGGAUCUACUUCAAUUUUCUUAAGAGAACGGGAAAUAGUGAUCGGGAUCCUCGUUAGCUGCGGGCAAUCACCCACAGUAAUUUCUUCGAGAGAAUCGCAAAGAAGUCUUCCAGAAUAAAUGCUUUUCAAAUUUGGUAAUUUCUUCAAUACCAAAACCCUCAAUGUAUCAAAUCUACGAAAAGGAGAGGAAUGCUCAUCACUUCCCAUUAUCUCCUGCAUGUUGUAACAAUCUUCGACUACAAUCACUUCCAAUCGGCGCAACAACCAUGAUUUUGAACGUUCAUUUUGUAUCAACCAAGGAGGGAGCAGCACCUUCAUCCCAUGACAUUUAUGUAUCACUAUCUCUCUGAGAUUGAAAAAGACUAGCUCCGAAGGUGCUUCAAAAAGGGUUUCUAAGAUUAUCAAAUCAUCAAGGUGUAGAAUCUCAAGCUCUUCAAGCCAUCCAAUUGCAUCUGAUGGACCUAAGCUUCUCAUGUUUUGACAACUCACAAAAACUACUUUUGUAAUGAAGUGCGGGAACAGAAAAGUUGCAUGAUUUAGAUCUUCGAGGUGAUAAAAGCAAGCCUCUUUAAUUAACCCUGACUUCGAUCUUGUAUAAUUUAGAUCUUCGAGUGAAGAGAAACAAGGUCGUCCUACAGUAACCUUGCAUGCAACUUAGUGAAAAUCUCCGUCCACACAAAAUAUCGAAAUCAUCUAGAUCACGGAAGUUGCAUUCCAAAGUUUCCAAAUCAUAUAAUGUGGAAACUUCAUCUCCUCUAACUGAGAGAACAACUUCAGAUUUCUGAUGAAGCUUGAGGAACUGUAAUUUUGAGAGUUGGGGUAAAAUACCCGACCGUAAAACACGCACCCCACUUCCAUCAAGAUUAAGAUACCUGAGAUCCUUCAGCCUUUCCAUUCCCUCGGGCAAAUCUUCAAGUCCAGUGUAACUGAGAUCCAACUUCUCCAAUGCCUUAAGCUUUGCUAAUGAUGGUACAUAACUCAGCUUUGCACACCAUCCCAGCAACAAUGCAGUGAGUCUCGUUAGAUGAGAAAUAGAAUCCGGCAACUUCUCUAUAUCUGUGUCGGAAAGAUCAAGAACCUUGAGUCCGAUGAGGUGCUGGAAAAAAGAAUCCUCGACCAAAUCCAAUUUGUAGUUUCUGCAUAACAAUAAUGUUGAGAGACGGGGGCACAUUGGUGAAAAGCCUGUUGGAAUAUUCUCGAUUCUAUUUUCCAUGAGUGAAACUCUUAACAGAUCCUCUCUCCACAAUCUUACACCGGGUAAUUCUGUUAGUUGUGCACCUGCUUGAACCAUAGCUCCCCCACUUUCGUUCAAUAUUUUCCAAGCCAUAUCCCAAAUCAAAUCAUGCAUCUUGACAUAUCUGUAAUCUUCAUCGUCCCUGGAACCUUCUAAUAAGCUGGCAUCUUCAAGUUGAUCAAGCAUGGUAUGGCCCCUAUCAAAUCGUGCAUGCCUUCGCCCCAUUUCUUUGACUAUACCCUCGUCAAUCAAAUACUCUAUCAAGUCCUCUCUCAAGAUGAUCUUGCCUUUUGGAAAUAGUGUGAUAUGUAAGAAGCACUCUUGCAGUGCUGAAGGGUUCAACUGGGCAUAGCUAAAUUCCAACACUCGAAAUACAUUGGCUUCCAUCUCACCUGGUCCAUCUUCUAAUCUUCUCAUUUUAGCAAGGCAUCCUCCAACGAUAUUCACCAUCACUCCCUUCAUGCUUCGAGCCAUUGUCAUGAUUCCAAGGGCAAACCAGCACACUCCUUCACAAUAGACUCUGCGAUCUCAGGAUAAAGGUGCACCACCACGCCCUAAUCUGUAUUUGAACAGAUCCCAAGCCUCACCCUUAGAAAGAGGCUCCACUUUGAUUAUCCUUUGGCAAUCCAUUUUUCGACAUAUCUCCAGUGAUCUCGUUGUGAGAAUCAACUUCCACCCGUCUGUUCUAAGAGGUAUUCCCACUUCAUCAGGAAGAAAAUGACCCCACAAAUUAUCAAGAAUUAAAAAACCUUUUUUUUUCACAUUCAACUCUGUCAACAGCUCCCCAGUUCUCACCAUCGCAUCAUUUUCAUCCAAAGGUUUUAAAUCCAAAACCUCAGCAAUGCGACCCUGCAAUGCAUAAAUGCUAAAAUCUUGUGACAUUGUAAUCCAACGAACAGGAUGAAACAUGCCUCGUUUCUCGUGAAGCUGAUUAUAGAUAUGUGUAGCCAAAGCUGUCUUUCCCACCCCCCCCAUCCCACAAAUGCCAAUGCAUGAGACCUCAUCAUUCAACAACCAGGAGCAGACAUCAUUCAUGUUUCUUUCCAUAGCUUGGCCCACUAGCUUUGUUGUCGGCAAUACAUAACUUCCAGUCCUACGUUUCUUAUGUUCAGGCCUUUUAGAAGAGGGCCGUCUCUCAACAACAGAUUGCAUCAAUUCCGGACUCAUGGUCAGUCUACCAGUUCUUAACUCAAACUCCCUCAUUGAUGAGGAUGAGAUGCUAUUCAAGUUCAUUUCAAAUGACUGAUGUGCUUGCUCUGUUCUUUGUCUAGUCUCGGGUUCAUCUGGCAUAAGAACGACAGGAGCUCUAGGUUCCUCGACAAGCUCAGUCUCCCCCCCAAUCAGAAAACGCUUCCGUCCUCGUUCAUCCGAAAGAGGUUGUUCUUCUUGCUCCAUUUCUAAGCCCCGCAAAGCAGUUGAAGCUGCAUUAAUUCCCUCGUUAUUGCUUGAACUUGGCACACUCUUAUCUACAGGCAUUUUAGAACAGCUUCCUCUCUCAGUAACAGCCUGCAUCAACUCCCGACUCUCUAUACCACUGCUUAGCACAACAUCCCUCGUCAAUGAAGAUGUGAUGUUAUUCAUAUCCGUUUCAAAUGCUUGAACUGCUGGCUCUAUUCCCAAUCCAGUCACAGAUGCAUCGGGCAUAAGCAUGCUAGGAACCAUGGUCUCCUCAGCAAGCCAAAUCUCUUCGCCAGUCAAGCUAUCCAUCCAUGAAAAAUCAUCCAAAAGAGAUUGUCCUUGUUCUUGCAUUUCUAAAUCUUGCGCAGGAUCUGAAUCUGCAGUAACUAUUAUAUUAUUGCUUGAACUUGGCACACUCUUAUCUACAGGCAUUUUAGAACAGCUUCCUCUCUCGGUAACAGCCUGCCUCAAUUCCCAAGUCAUGUUCUCUGUACCACUGCUUAACUCAACAUUUCUCAUCAAUGAAUAUGGGAUGUUAUUCAUAUCCUUUUCAAAUGGUUGAUCUGCUGGCUCUAUUCCCAAUCCAGUCUCGGGUGCAUCAGGCAUAAGCAUGCUAGGAACCAUGGUCUCCUCAGCAAGCCAAAUCUCUUCUCCAGUCAAGCUAUCCAUCGAUGGAAAUUCAUCCAAAAGAGGGUGUCCCUGUUGUUGCAUUUCUAAAUCUUGCGCAGGAUCUGAAUCUGCAGUAACUAUUAUAUUAUUGCUUGAACUUGGCACACUCUUAUCUACAGGCAUUUUAGAACAGCUUCCUCUCUCGGUAACAGCCUGCCUCAAUUCCCAAGUCAUGUUCUCUGUACCACUGCUUAACUCAACAUUUCUCAUCAAUGAAUAUGGGAUGUUAUUCAUAUCCUUUUCAAAUGGUUGAUCUGCUGGCUCUUUUCCCAAUCCAGUCUCGGGUGCAUCAGCCAUGCUAGGAACCAUGGUCUCCUCAGCAAGCCAAAUCUCUUCUCCAGUCAAGCUAUCCAUCGAUGGAAAUUCAUCCAAAAGAGGGUGUCCCUGUUUGUUGCAUUUCUAAAUCUUGCGCAGGAUCUGAAUCUGCAGUAACUAUUAUAUUAUUGCUUGAACUUGGCACACUCUUAUCUACAGGCAUUUUAGAACAGCUUCCUCUCUCGGUAACAGCCUGCCUCAAUUCCCAAGUCAUGUUCUCUGUACCACUGCUUAACUCAACAUUUCUCAUCAAUGAAUAUGGGAUGUUAUUCAUAUCCUUUUCAAAUGGUUGAUCUGCUGGCUCUUUUCCCAAUCCAGUCUCGGGUGCAUCAGGCAUAAGCAUGCUAGGAACCAUGGUCUCCUCAGCAAGCCAAAUCUCUUCUCCAAUCAAGCUAUCCAUCGAUGGAAAUUCAUCCAAAAGAGGGUGUCCCUGUUGUUGCAUUUCUAAAUCUUGCGCAGGAUCUGAAUCUGCAGUAACUAUUAUAUUAUUGCUUGAACUUGGCAUACUCCCACGCAUACUUUCAAAAAGCUUAUCAAACGCUGCUUGUUGAACAUCUGGAGUUACUUUUUCACAAAUUUUAACACCACCACCUCCAACUCUUGCCAGAUGAUAUUUCAUCCUUGUAGCGGAAGUACCUCUAGCCAAUUUCUUCUCACAAAACAUGCACUUCAAUAAAUCACCAUCCAUUUUCUCAAAAUAACACCGAAAUGGAUCACUUCCUCCAACCAUUUUUUUCUUCUGUGUCCCUACCUACAGACAUAACAAAGAACUUUCAGAAUAUUGAAUUAAAAUGGAACUUAAACUAAUUGAAAAAAAGAAGCUAAGUUUAACAUAAAAAAAAAAUUGAUUACAAGUGUUUCACUGCCUAAACCAAAGUCAAGUUAAACCACUCCAAAGAUCAAAGUGUUCUUUUCUCUUUACUUCCCCAAUAAUUCUACAACUUGUCAUAUCAGUAAUUUAAUAACCAGUAUGUUUCCUUUUGCUUAGAAGAAUCAAACUACAUGAGUUGGAAAAGAAAUGGUAUGAAAUAAGAGCUAAAAUUAAUCAAACUUAAUUACCUGAGCAGCAGAAGCAGCAAAAUGUUAUCCAAUGCUUUGAUUAAAUCAGAAGAAAGAAGAUGGACGGGGAAGUGUAAGUGUGUUGGAUACGAGUGAUAGAGCUUAACGGCUUGCGUGGUUGUGGAUAAGGAUAGAUUCAGGUACAGUCAGAGAAGCAGAUGACAGUGAAAAAAGAAAAAUGGACUUCUGUCGUUCAUGGUUGUCAUAUGGAAAUGUUGUUGGUCUUCCAAGAAGCGGAUCCGGCGAGGGGUGCUCUAGUGAAGGCGUGGGGGUAGGCGGUGGCUGAUGAUAGUCUCCUCGUGUGGUGGACAGCACGCCAACUUUGCAAACGAUGAGAAAGAGCACGAUCCACCACAAAACAGCAGAAGAGAAAGCAGUAGGCCGAGAGAAGAAAAGGGAGCAUGAGCAGAGUUGACCGAGAGAGAAGUAGAGCUGACCUAGAGAGCGGUAGCUUCACAAAUGGAGAGGUAGAAAAAAGAUAAGAUACAGAGGAUGAUAGACAACUGAGAUGGAGAGUACCUGUUUGUUUGGUGGUUUAAAAAAAAGAACUUAUUUUCUAGAAAAUAAAUUAUUUAUUUAUAUACAUAUAUUCAAGAAAAAUUAUUUAUAAAAUAUUUUUCAAUACUAGGUUAUAUCAUAAAAAUAGUAAAAAAUAGUUUAUUUAUUUAUAUUUUAAUUAUUUUUGAAGUUUAUUAAAAAAAAAUUACUAAUAAAAAAAAUAAAAAAUAAAUCUCAUAAAUAAAAAAUUAAAAAAGAAUAAAAUUAAAAAAAAUUAUUUUAUAAAUUAUUUUAAAUAAGAUAAAUAUCAAUUAAAAUAAUAAAAAUCUAAUCUAAUAGAUUAAAAAUUUCAAUUAAAAGAUAACAAUCAAAAGAUAAUAAAAACUAAAUUUAAUAUAAAAAUUAAAUUUUAAAUAAUAAAAUUAAAAAAAAUCAAAAUAAAAUAUAUAGAAACUCAAAUAUUAAGGAUUAAAUUUGAUAUAAUUAAUAAAUAACAAGAUAUUUUUUAAAUUUAAUCGACUUUUUUAUAUAUUAAUGUCAAAAAUUAAAAAUUAAAACUAAAAAACUAAUAAUUUAAUAUAUUUCAAACAAAAAUCAUUUUAAAAAAUACCAUAUAUUUGAAUUCCACGCACUUUUGUCAUUUUAGGUUUUAUUUCAAUCAUACUUAAACAAUAUUUAUUUACAAAGCAUACAAUUAAUUUAGUUAUUUUAAUAUAUUAAUAUCAAAAAUAAAUUUUAAAAAAUAAAAAUUUUAAAAAUUAAUUAUUACUUCUAUGCGAAACACCAUUAAUUUUCUCUCCUUUCCGUUGCAUCAUUGGCUUCUACGCCUGCAAAUCUAGGUACCUUUUUUAUAUAUAAAAAAAAUUCAUUACUUUCUGCUAAAAACAACCAAGUUAGUGACAGUUUAUGCAUGCCUUGACAUGUCUUGCAGAGGAAACAGAAGCACCCUACUUUGCAUUCAGCUGGUUAAACGACAACAACACGUUCCAAACAGAAGAUGCUUCAACUAAACUGACCUAAGAGAGCUUAGACAAACAUCUCGAUAGACUUUGUUGAAGGCUUCAAAUGGUAAAUCUCGAUAGACCUAAGCAAUUUUUAUUCACAAAGAUAAAAUCUGGAAAGAACUAUUUAAGAUAUUAGGGGUGAAAUUAAUUGCUUUUGAGUUUAGCUUAUCACCCACAAACUGUUAGACAAUCAAAAAACAGGUUAGGUUUUUUUUUUUUUUUUUUUUUUUUCGGCACCUCGAUUUUGCUUACUGUAGCUCCCUGUUGUUGCCCCUUUUUUUAUUUUAAUAUAGCUGGUUUUUUCAAACUUGGAUGCAAUUUUUAAUUUUUGCUUUUCCCAGGAUCGAAUUAGGUUGCUCGCUAUCUUGCACGCCCUUUCUUUUCCUAUGCUUGUUUUCCUGCAGAUUGGUUGUUUUGCAGCAACGGUAUUUCACCUCCAUUUUGCUAGUCUCAACAAAAAAUAUAUUAAAAUAAUAUUUUUUAUAUAAUUUUUAAAAAUUAUUUUUAAUAUUAAUAUAUUAAAAAAAUAUUUAUUAUUAUUAAUUGUGAUGUCUUAUCAUAUCAUUGGAGAGAGGUGAGUUUCCUUUUAGGUGACAUGUGGGAAAAAAAUAACCAUGGCGAGAAAUGAGGUGCCUUGCUCUACAUAUAGAGAACGAAUUUGGCGUGCGUUAGUGGAUGGUUUGUGUCAUUGUUAAAACUUCAUAUGUUUAGAGGAUGGUAUUGUUGAGCGGAAUCCAGGACCGGUAAUGUUACUGAUCUUUGCUUAUAGGAGGGCUAAGCAUACUGAGAUAAUAUUUAACGUGGUUCGGCAAAUUGCCAAACUCACCUUUUCUUCAACAAUGGUGGCUGUCAAAGUCAAGGAUGGUGGUUGCCACCAACAAGCCACCAUUGUAGCCUCUUUCUUUGACUCUCACAUGGCAGCCAUCUUCUUUGACAAGACAGCCAUAUAAUUGGCAAUAUUCCAACAAUCACCCCCUUUGCUAUUUAUGUGGGCAAUUGUUAUCUCGCUUCUUUAGCACACGCUUUCCUGGAGCGUUCUGAACUGGGCUCCUUUCAUGGCCCUCACACCUUCUCUAAGGUGUCUCUGCUUGUCGUCAUGCGACGGUCUAAACUGGGGCUCCUAUCGUGGCGCGUGGGCAGCCUCCUCUCCGGCGCAUGUUGGCACAUGCGAGCAUGUCGCACGUCAUCAUUUUACGUCGUUUUCACUAGUGGCUUCAUCUCUUCCUCCUCUACACAGUGGUAUGGUCAAAAAAUCAUUUUGAAAACUUUCAUUUUUGAGCAAAAAUCAAACACCACUUCAAACCAUAAGCUCUGAUACCAUUUGUUGAGCGGAAUCCGGGACCAGUGAUGUACUGAUCUUUGCUCAUAGGAGGGCUAAGCACACUGAGACAAUAUUUAACGUGGUUCGGCAAAUUGCCUACAUCCACGGGAGAGAUCAAUAUUAUUAGAGAUAGAGAAAGAAUACAACACACGGAGGAGGAUCACAUUCACUCAACUCCCAUCUCUCAUUGCUACAUAGGGCAGUAGCUGCAUAAGGCAGCAGGGCUGCUGGUGGCAGCCCUUCUCUUUCUUUCUCUCUUCUUCUCUCUUUUGUAGCUCUCCUACAAGGCUCUCUCUCUCAUUUUGUGUUGCACUCUUGGUGUCUAUUUAUAGGCUUCAAUGACAGCUCCUCUUACUUCUUUGUCAACAAUGGUGGUUGCCAAACUCACCUCUUCUUCAACAAUGGUGGUUGUCAAAGUCAAGGUUGGUGGCUGCCACCAACAAGCUACCAUUGUAGCCUCUUUCUUUGACUCUCACAUGGCAGCCAUCUUCUUUGACAAGACAACCACAUAAUUGGUAAUAUUCCAACAGGUAUUGGGUCGAGACCCAAAAAACAGGGUGGAAAACCCAUUUGGGCUUUGUCUGCAGUCAUUCAAGGUAGCAAGGGAAUCUCUAUGUGCUUCAUGGCGGGAUUUUAGUUCAGAAGCUUUUUGUUAACUCAGAGUUGUCAUCUUCAAUAUAGAAGCUUUUAAAUUGCUCAGACACUUCAAAUGAAGAUGGAAGUGCGGAGGAAACUUCAUGGAUAGAUUGCAGGUAUGGAGACAUUUACAGCUGAGAAUUGAAGCUCGAGGGGAACUACUUGCAGUUAGUGUUGAAGAAAGCGCAAGAAACACUGCCUACACACUUCAAAAGACAGGAGGCUCAAGCUUAAAGGAUGCUAGAUGUUAUCUAAUUGAUUUUUACUAGAGAUUUUCAGGAUUGAUUCGCUUAAUGGAAGAACUUGCUUGCACUGUCCUACUUAUUAUGGCCAUUUUGAUUACCUUCAAGCUACUCUUUCUGCUGCCAUCAAUCCUACCUGUUACUGUUUCUUGUUAACUAUAUCUUCAUUCUAAGAUUGAUUUCGCUUUCUCUUCUCUUCUGUUUUUUUUAUCAGAGUUAUCUCUGCAUGGACAAUGAACUUCGGGUGAGCCCAACAGGUUACAGCCAAGUAAACAACGAGAAUGCAUGCUCCCGCCAGCCUGCAAAAUCUAGCACAAAGCAAUCGUUUGGGUCAUAGUCUCCUUAGCCCACAGCCAAUCUCGAAAAGGAAUGAUUCUUUUAUUUAUUUUUUGUUUUUUGCAUUUAGGACUCUCAUUUCUUCGUAUGUUUACUUUGUUUAAUUUUUUAAUCAAAGCUAAAGCUCGAUUGACUUGAUCAUGAUGAUCGGAUUCACAGUCUAAAAGCCCUCAUCAACAUAAAUUAUCAUUUUAAAUUUGUUUUUUUUUUAAUAUUUAUUUUUGUAUCAGAUUUUUUAUAUCUGUAGCCUUGCAUAAUUUUUUUUUUAAUUAUUAUUCAAUAAAUUUUAUGUGUGUUAGUUUCUAUUAUAAAUAUUAUGUUUUUUUUAUUACAAAUUUAUUUUGAUAAAGAGGUUCAUUAAACAUAAUUAGGUAAAUUAUCCGUGUUGCGAUAUUAGAUAUCCUGAUCUUUAUUUUUUGCUUGGUUUUCUCAAUUUUAUUUUUGUUUAUUGUUGAUGAAUCUUUUUUUUCAUUGCUUUACACAAUUGGUUAUUGAUUUAUUUAAUUAGAUGCGUGCAUAAGCUUUUCAAUUAACAUCUAAGAGUUUUUUUUAGUGUAAAAAAACAUGUUGAAUAAUUUUGUAUAUUCAUUUUUUUAUAUUAUGUUUUGAUGUUUAAGAUUUGAUGCUUAUUCUUAUGAAUUUUUUUUUUAAUAUUUUUCCCUUGAAUCUUUUAUAAAAGUUUUAUUUUUUUAGUUUCACCCUUCAAUUCAAGUCUAUAGUGUAUUUUUUUUAUGUCUUUGUUCUUUUGAUUUUUGUCAUUUUGUUAAUGUUUUUAUUUUUUUCAAUUCAACUCUCAAAUUUAAAAUUUAUUGUUGCCGUUUGAUUUAUUUUUUAUUGCAAUUUUAACACUCAUUAUUUUUAUUGUAUUUUCUUGAUUUUGGAUUUUUUCUGUGAUUUUAACCCUCACACUUUUUUCAUGUAUAGUGCUUUCGAUUUUAUAACCUGGGUCACGGUUUAAAAAGUCAACAAUAAUUGAUUUUUUUAUCUUUUUUUUUUUAUUUCUCUUUCUACGCAAUUAUCUUAUUUUCAUUAGUUUUUUUUACUUUAUUAACAAAUAAGAUCAUUGAGAUAUUUUAAGAAUAUUAUGAAGAUAUAGUUCCGUAAUAUUGGCAAACUCAUCUUUUACAUUGAAUCGUUGUUUUUUUUUUUUCCGUUUUAUUUGUUGUCGAUAUUUUAUUUUCUAAUGAUAUUAUUAAAUUAACCAAGUCAAUUGAACUCAUUAGAGCAAUUACCUUAAGGCUUUAUUGUUCUUCACUUGUGCAACUAGGAUGUUUAUAAUAUGUUUUUUAAGAUUCUAAUAGCACCACCAUAAUUUAGAUGCACUUCUAAAUAAAGUACUCAAAUAUAAAAAAAUAUAGAGUUGUUAACUAAUGUUUUAAAUAAAGUAAAAAUACAUGUUUGACCUUAGAAAAUACAAAAACAUAUGGUAUGCAUCUGAGGAUUUUUUUUUUUCCUUUCACACAUCUUUUUUGUAAUUAUCAAGGUCAUGGGGGACAUUUAGGUAUUUUUAUAUUGAAUUUUUAAUUUUUUUUUUAAAGAAAGUUGUUGGCAUGUGCUCAUUACGGGCUAAUGAGUUGUUGGCAUCUGUGUCAUUUGGAUGGUGUGUGUGGCACCUCCUGGUGGUCAAACCUGACUUUCCGACAUGUUUUUGGAGGUGCCACCAUGUCCUUCUUUAUGGUGUGGCGCGUGAUGGCAUAUGGUUGCCAACUCUUGGUGAAGACGUCUCGCUGGCAUGCGGCCUGCGCUGCUUCUCUUAGGGACAGAGGAGCUAAAAGGAUCAGGAGGCUUUGUUAAGUUUUCUCCUUCCCCUUCAAGCAUUUGGACAACAGUUUUCAUGGAAGGACGCUCUGCUGGGUUCCACUGAAUGCACCAUAGCCCCACAAUUGCUAGUUUCUUCGCAAUUUUAGCAUCUUCUUCUCCAUCGAUAUGAAACCGCAGGUCUUCUUCCUUUUCUAAGAGAUUAUAAAUCCAUUCCGGGAAGUAUAUCUGGUCGCCAUUUUCUGCUGUAUCAUCGACGUUCUUCCUUCCUCCAACCAUUUCCAACACUAACAUCCCAAAGCUGUAAACAUCUGAUUUAUAGGAAACAUUCCCGAAGUUCCUUGAGAACACUUCUGGGGCAAUGUAGCCAACAGUCCCCCUAGCAGUCGUCAUGGAAAUAGCACUUUUAUCCUUGGAACACAGCUUUGCCAUCCCAAAAUCGGCGAUUUUGGGAUUGAAUUCGUUGUCAAGCAGGAUAUUCUGUGGUUUGAUAUCAAAAUGGAGGAUUCUUUGAUCACACCCCUGGUGAAGAUAUUCAAUCCCCUUGGCUAUGCCUAGAGCAACACGAUUCAACCUUUCCCAGCCAAGGAAAUGGUUCCUUGAGUCUGCUGAGGUUAUGAACUUCUGUAAUGAACCAUUUGGCAAGUACUCAUAAACCAGAGCUCGUCUAAAUCCAUCAGCACAGAAACCGAUCAAGCGAACAACAUUGACAUGGUGGAUCCUUGCCAUUGUUCCCACUUCAUUGAUGAAUUCCUCCCCUUUUCCUAUGGAAUUAUUGAGGAGCUUCACAGCUACAGCAAUUUCAUUGGUUAGCUUUCCUUUGAACACGGUUCCAUAAGCUCCUUGGCCCAAUUCAUCACCGAAUUGAUUUGUGAUCCUCUUGAGGUCAGCGUAGGAGUACCUAGUGGGAUUCAGUGAUCUGUAAUCAUCCAAAAACAUAUCAACUCUCGCUUGAUAUUCUCUUUGUGUUUUAUCGUUGCUAUAGGCGCGGUAGAGUGCAGUAAUCACUAUAGCAAAAAGGAAGAAUCCUAAAAUCACACCUGCAUAUCAACAUUCUGAGUCAGGAAAUUCUGUUUUUUGGGACGUGAUGUAUUGAACCAAGUGUAAAAUUGAGAUGGAGAUUUGAGCUGACUACUAACCAGUAAUCAGUAGCUUUCGCCGCACAUCUGUAAGGGAUUGAAUACUUAUUAGCUUCUCCCUUUGAUGCAAAUGGUAAAAUCAUGAAAGCAACAAAAACGGAAAGAGUUUCUUUAUUAAUUUGAAAAACCCUUAUUGUUUUUUAUUUACGUAUUCAAAUGCCAAUUAUUAAUUUGAAAAAAGGAAGAAAGAUAGAAAAGCAUACCUUUAGUGUGCGGAAGAAUGCUGUAGCAUUCAGCUUCAGAAGAUCCACAAGUUGGAUUGGACCAAGACAUAGUAAGAACAUAAUUUUCUUCAAGCAAGAUACUAUAUGAAAUUCCAUAAAUGUUGUACAUCUUGGUACAAGAUAACAAAUCAGAGUAACUGAUGGGAAUACUUGAGUAAACGGCAUAAACUUCAUGCUUAAAAGUACUCAGACAUGGGAUUUUAUCCAUGUACGAAGGAGGCCUUUUCUCACUAGAAAGAGAACAAUUGAACAAGGUCCAACCAUACGGCAAAUCCUUCUGAAUUUGGAAGUGAGAAGCCCCUAAACUGAAGUUUAAACGUUGCCUUGGAAAGCAACCUUGAGGAUACCUUGCAUAAAUGAGUUGAUGUCCAUAGUCAAUUCCUUCGAUGUGGAGACUCAAUCCAGUUGGCAGAUUAAGCACUGUGCUGUUGUCCUCUGAGCAGGAUAGAUCAAACCCAGGAUAGCCACAGUCUGGUUGUUUGUCCUUGAUUCGGAAAGGAAAUCGGAUGUCAGGGCCACGGUUUCCACAUGAUCCUGUGCAGUUCAAGCUUGCUACAUGGCCUGCAAGGAAGACAAUGAAAAAGAAGAACAAACACGUAACCAUUUCUGAUGAAUAAUUCAUCAUCUCCACACUCCUCCUACGAUUUUAUCUGCAUGUGCUGAUAUAGUUUUGGCCUUUCAGAAAACUCAUGGAGUCCUUAGACGGGCGAUUCCUUUACAGAAUUUAUUUACUCCAUCGAUCUAGUGUGAUGCUCGUCCCUUUGACAUUCCUCCACUCACAAACAUGUGGGAUCCAAUUAUUCCGUUUUAUUUAGGGGUGAGCAUAAUUUCAAACGGUUUGGUUUGGAUAAAAAAAAUAUAUAUAACAGAAGUUUUUUUAAAAAAAAUAUUUAGUUCAAACGGUUUGGUUUGGAUAAAAAAAAUAUAUAACAGAACUAAUUUUUGUUAAUUGUUUUUUGAAUUGAAUCAAAUAAAAGAACCAAAUUAAUUGGUAUUUGUUUUUUUUUUUUUGAGUUAAUGGACCUUUAGUUGAGCAAUUUUGACAAGUUUCAGGGGCACUUGUUUACACCGCCUCAUUAUAUUUUAUAAAAAAUAUAUUUUUUAAAAUUAAGUUUUUGUGUUUCUGAAUUGUUUUAAUAUGUUAAUAUUACAAAUAAAUUUUUAAAAUAAAAAAAUUAUUUUGAUAUAUUUCUAAGUAAAAAAAGCUUUAAAAAACAAUCACUACCACAAUGUCAAACACUACUUAAUUUAAUGAGUUUUGAGCUUAUAACAUACCUUUAGUUUCUAAUAAGUUUUUUUUAUUUGGUUUGGAUUAAUUUUUUAAAAAAGAUUUAAAAUUGAAACUCAAUUGAAACGUUUUUAAUUUUUCUAACAAAAAAAAUUAAAAAUUCAAAAAACUGUUUGGUUAAUUUUUGGUCAAUUUCUAUGAUUAAUGUUCUCAUCCCUAAAAAUAAUAAUCUCUCUAUUUACAUAGUAUUUGUUGCUACCCAAUUUUUGACCCAUGUUUUUGAGAUAUUUUCAAAAAAUCCAAAAAUAGAGAAAAACAAUGAAAAUCCAAAAAAAAAAAUAUGAUUUUAAUAUAUUCUCGUCAUUUUAGCAUUUUUAGCGUCGUCUAAAAAGAAUUUAAAUUUUCAAAAAAAAAAGAAGAUUUUCGAGUGCGUUCAAAUUUUCACACGUCAUUUUUAAAUUAUUGUUUUUCCUCAUUGAGUCGACGUUGAUAUUGCUCGUUUUCAAAAAAUACAAAAAAAUAAGAAAAAUCAAAAUUUACAAAAAAAAAAAAGAUGAAGUUGAGGGACCAAGUUGAAAAACCUAGCAACAUUUUGCCUAUAAAUACUGGUCUUCAACUCACAUUCAAGAGAGGGGCAAUUUUGACAGAUUGAGAAAAAACACAAAAAACCUAAAAAUACACUCUUUCUCCCCACUCAUAAAAAAAACCAGCCGGCGGCGCCUCCCCGGACUUGUUUUGAAUUUUCAUUCCCUGGGGUCCUUGGAUUUUCAGCUCCCAGAACCAGAGAGCCAAGGACCCCCACCAUUUUAGAUCCCACAUUUUACCCUACCGUUUCCCAUCUUCUUCUCCAUCAGCACCGGUCCCCCACCCGUGGCUUUUCUUUUCUUUUUUUUUCCUCAGCCAAACACAGCCACCCCUUCAGCCGGUUCUUUCUCAACAGCCCCUCACUUCUCUUUCGGCCACAGCCAAGCACAGCCCUCAUGCCCCGUAGCUCUUGGACAGCAACGACUCCUUCCCCCUUUUGAUUUGGUUUCCUCUUCUUUGAACCGGCAGCCUAUUCCUUUUCUUCCCUUCGAAGUCGCCCCCUCAAUCUUCAACCCGACAACCCCAUUGCUGCCUCUCACCAGCCAAAGAAACCCCAUCCCCCUUCAGCCGCACAGACCACUCGGAGUAGCCGUCCUCGCUGGGGAUUCAGCAGCCAAAACCCGGACCAGCCAAAACCCGAGAAGCCAAGGCAACCCCCUCCAUCUUCACAGCGGCUCCACCGGACGCAGACAACAGCAGCAGGGCCAUCUGCGCGCAACCAAAAAGUGAAGACCAACCCAGCAGGCCACAUCCGACAGACCCAGACCGAUUUUUCUCCAUCAACCCGAAGCUUUCCUCUCAGUAGCGUUUUCUUCGCCUUCGAUCUCUUCAGCAGAAGCGGCCUCAGUUCCACCGAGCAUCGACGACCGACCCAGCAGCGAAGGAGAUGGAGAUAAAACAAACGAAAGAAGUGAAGCAGAUCCAAAAGACCCGCACGGGACAGAUCUGAAGAGAACUUGAACAGAUCUAAAAAACUAAAACCGACUGCUCUUUGUGUGUUUUUCUUGUUGUUGCAGGUGGCGGUGACCUUCACCGCCGGCGAGGAAAGGAAGAGGAGAGAAGCCGCUCCAGGCACCUCUGUUUUUCCAGUUUUCCCAGCAGCGGCGCGUGAACCCACGCGCGCCAGUGGCGGUGGCGCGUGGGAAGACGCGCCGCAGCUGUUUGCUGCCCCAAUCUUCCAGCACUGUUCCGUGCACUGUUCCUGCAUUUUCUAGAGAUGUUUUAGGACUGUUUUUAUAAUUUAAAAUUGUUUGAUGUAUUUUUUUUAUUUAGUUUUGAAUUCUUUUUUUAUUUGUUUUUGGUAUUAUUGAUGUAACAAAAAAGAAGAAAAGAAGAAAAGAAAUACAGUGAAAGUGUGUGUGUGUUUGUAUUUGUUUUAUGAAUUUGUUAUUUUAUUUACUUCUUUGUUUAUUUUUUAGGAUAAAAUUGCAAAUCUAUUAAAGAAGAAUUUAAUAUUUUGAUCGGAUCACGGUUAAGAAUUAUUAACUUAUACGUAAGUGAUAUUUCUAAUUUCCGAUGAAAAGACAAUUAUUAAAACUUCUUUAACACAUCAAAUUCACGAAGCAGCUUACCUCAGGUAGGGUGCGUUAGGGGUGCUAAUACCUUUCCUAACCACAACCAGUCCCUUACCCGCAAAUCUCUGACGAGACCAGUACAUCCGGUUUCCUAGUUGCCCGAAAUUAAUUACUAGGUGGCGACUCCAGCGAACCAAUUCAAGCAAACAACAAUGAGACUUAAAUCGCCAGCCGAUGCCGCGCGCUGAUUUUUUUUUUGAGGUGCGACAGUAUUCACAUUGUAUAUGGUAAUAUGUUUAAUUUGGAAACCUAGAAUUAGCAAAAAAAAAACUAGAUUCUAUCGUAUGAAUUUUAAUUACAUGAUCACACUUAUGCCAAAAGACUGUUUUUUUUUUUGUCAAAUUAGCAGAGUAAAUAUAAAAAUUCAAGGGAAUAACACCGUUUGAGAAAGAUUUAACAAAUAAUUUACUUUCAACUUGUCACGCUUCAAAAGCAUGAUAUUUACUAAAUGUCGUUAUUCCAACACAUGGCAAGUAGUUGUCCUUUAGAAUAGCAACAUUUAGUAAAUGUUGUUAUUCUGAAGCAUGACAAUAUGAAACUCCAAUUUACUGGCCGACUGGUUUGAUUCAGUUAUAUUAAUCGGUUUUUGUUUCACACAAAACGAUAAUUUUUUUUGUUUUCUUCCAAAUAUGUUUUAUGAGUUAAAAUAUAUAUCUCUAUCCAAUUUGUAGACUAAAAAAUCUCAAAACGUUAUUGUAAUUGGGCUUAUGAUAAUGAGUGAUUCUAGGUAGUCAGAUGUAAGUUUGCCAUAACUAAAUAAGGAUAUACUCUAAACAAAUUACAUGGAUGAUUGUAUUUAUGGACUAGUAAGAUAUAUCUAGACCCAAGAGGAGGUCUAGUCAUGCUAAACCAGAAUAACAACUCAAAUGGGCCAUAACUUUUGAUUCGAUUAUUGCAUCGUGCUUAAAUUUUUAUAGGAUUUUUUAGAGGCCAUUUUACCUUGGUAACAUUACUAUGUUACAUGAACCAUUAGAUCUUUGGACAUAAAAAAUCUCACCAAGGACCCUUGAUUUUGAUAAUUCUGUAAUUUUCCUUGUUAUUUUCAGAACCGGAUCUAUUAGUGUCACUAACCAUUAUGAACCGGUUGAUCGGUUGAUCGGUUGAUCGGUUGAGCAUGAAAACUAUCUUGUCAUGCUUUAGAAACAUAACAUUUGCUUCAGAAGUGUGACAUCUACUAAAUAUUGCUAUUCUGAAGUGUGACAACUAUUUUGUCGUGCUUUGGAAUAGCAACAUUUAAUAAAUGUUGUGUUUUUAAAGCGCAAUAAGGCGAAGUGUGCUAUUUCAUAAAUUGUUUUUGCUUUUGUGUCAUUUCAUCAUUUAUUUUAAUUUGUGUGCUAAUUUCCUAAUUUAUCCUAUGCCAAAAAGGACUUGGAGUUGUGAUGGAUGCAAAAUUCUCAACAAAAAAUAACUAAGAAGCAUAUAAUUCAUUGUCAUUGACACGGGGUGGUUGAGGGGAAAAGUCUUGGUAUGUGAAUUAAAGUUGUCAAUUCCAUUCCAUUCACUCCCACUUGUCAUUGAAAGGAGGGGGUUGAGGGGAAAAGUCUUGCUAUGUGAAACUUCGAGUGACGGACCAAUGUUUCCAUCAAUGACUUAAGUGUCUGAGAAGGAAACGAAAAUAAUAGGGCUUCGACAAGUCCUUAACCUAUUCAUUUAUUUGAUGUUAUUGGGACAAUUGUAUAUUUAUAAGACGCGGCACUAGAGUUGACUUGGUUAAAAGUCUGAGUUAAUACAACUUUUUAAAAAAUUAUAUCAUAUUUUUAUAUUUUUUAGAUUUGAUUUAUAUUAUUUUGAUUAUUAUUUAUUUUAUCUGAGAUAAUUUAUAAAUUAUAUUUUUUUUCAAUUUCAUUCUCAUUCAAAUUUUUAAUUUGUAAGAUUUGUUCCUCGUUAUUUUAAUAAACUUGAGAAAAAUAAAACAUUAAUAAGUUAAUUUAUAGCUCAUUUUCCAUGACAUAACAAAAUACUGGAAAGUAUUUUCCAACUUAUUUUCCAUUACACUACCAAACAUCAAAAAAUAAUUCACUUUCCAGGAAUUCGCUUUCCAAAAGAAAACUACUUUUCAGCAAACAAACGAAGCCUAAAUGAAUACAAUAUUAAGAUUAAGAGUCAUAUUGUCUUAAAACAUCUAAUGUAUUCUAUAUUUUAUAUUAUAAACUUAUCUUAUCAUUUUGAAAAUGAUUUAGCCAUACUAACAUCUAUACAUAUAUAUAAUACCUCCAUUACAUCCUACACAUCUUCUAUUUGAUUUUUACACCACAAAGGUUUUCAAAGAAAAUAAAGACAUAUAAAUGUUACAUUUUAAAAUGAUAAUUCAUAAACAAAAAAUCCUACAUCUAACGAUCUGCAUCAUCUCGUGGUGUAUGUAUUUCAACAAUAACCACAUUAAUUAAUUUACUCAAUAUCUUAGUCAUAUAUUAAUUAUUUUACUCUUAACUUUUAAAAUUUAAUACUUCUAACUUCAAUCAAUUAAUUUACAUAAUCUUUUCAAAAUUUAAAUAUCCAGCUAACUCAUCUCGAUUACCAAUAAUUCUAACACUUUCAUAUAAUUACCCACAAAUUUGGUUAUUCUUCCUCGGUUACCAAUAAAUCCGAUAAUUCCAUCUAAAUUACACAUCAUCUAACUAACCACUUUUGUUAACCAAUCAAUUUGGUAAUUCCAUAUGAAUUACCACAUAUCCGGUUAACCUCUUGGUUAACUAAUAAACCGGGUAAUUCUCUUAAUUACCCAAGAAAUUUGGGUAACCCAUUUUGGUUGCCAAAAUCAAUCCGGUAAUUCCAUAUGAAUUACCCAGCAUCCAACUAACCUCUUUUGUUAGCAAAUCAAUAAUUCCGGUAAUUUCACAUAAAUUACCAAUAAUUUUCAUUUGUAAUAAUCACUUAAUUUAUUCAUUUGCUUCAUUCUUUUAACAUCAAUUAAAUAAACAAAUAUGUGGUUGUAUGUGAAAUGAUGAUGUUAUGUUUGAGAAUGACUUUUUAUCAUAAGGAAUUUAAAAAAAUAUUACAUGCUUUGCAUUUCAGCACGUAAGAAAAAUAUUAAUGAACUAAGGAUAUAAUAACAUUUGAUUGAUUUAGGAGUUGUGUCUAGAGCUGGUUAUCAGACAAGAGGAGUUGGGUCAUCACGAGCAGAAGGUAGGUGAUUCAUCACCUUUUUUUGUAAUUAUUAGUUUUCCUUAAAGAUUUAUGUUGUUUAUUUAAUUAAUGUUAAAAGAAUAAAACAAAUGAAUAAAUUGAGUGAUUAUUACCAAUAAAAAUUAUUGGUAAUUUAUGUGAAAUUACUAGAAUUAUGUAAAAGAUCGCUUCAACUUUUUUAACUUGGUUGCUCUUUCUCAACUAGACAACCACUUCAACUAAUUUCUAGAAAUCAGUUUCGAUAUUUUCACUAUCUUUCCCUUACAACCGAAGGAAGCAUAUCUUGGAAUAUCUCAUGGAUUUGGACUGGAUUGGGUGUUUUGGUUUCUGAUGAGAUGCUCCAUGAAAAAUAUCAGGCUCGCUGGAUGUCGUUGUUUGUGGUAUUGACAGUUGAUGACUUUUUUUUUUUACUUUUCAAAGUUAAUGAUUCUGACAUUUCGAAGGAGGUGGGAAAUUAUCUUCGUCUGUGAAGUAGUGUUGAAUGUUGGAUCAAUAACUCACUGUCUGCUUUGCUACUAUUCCUAUCCGAUGACUCUGACAUUUCAAAGGACGACCAGGUAGGGGUGUUCUCCUUCACCUUUCAUUGCAUUAUCAGUAGCUUCCACUCCGAAAUUCAAUAGUUUUUGUUGGAGAAAAAAGAAAAGGAAAAAAGAAGAAUAGUUUAUGCAAAAUUGCGUAUACACUGUGUAUCACUUCAGCCUUCCCCAUGUUUAGAGGAAUGAACGUCCUUUUUGCUUGCUACAUAGCUUUUCUUUUACAGCUAUUAGUCUUCCAAACUUGCCAUUCUAGCAACUUCACUGCUCAUUGUGCUCCUUCUUCAUGCGGCAAUAUCCAAAACAUAAGCUUCCCUUUCAGACUAGACACUGAUCCACAAAGCUGCGGAAACAAUAAUUAUACUCUGAUUUGCGAGAACAAUAUUGCUACAGUAUUAUAUUUGUAUUCAGGUAAAUACUACGUGCAGGCAAUCGACUACGGUAACUUCACAAUCCGAGUGGUAGAUGCUGGUGUACAUGAUAAUUCCUGCUCCAUCCCUCGUUAUUCUUUGGCACCUGAUGACUUCAGUGACGGAGAUCCAUACACAUGGUAUAACUACAAGCAGGUGCCGCCAGGAGUGAGUGAAAGUUUCGUGUACUACUGGGGCCACUGGUUCUUACCUCCACUAUCACAGCCUAUGAUUUUCAUGAGCUGUGAAAAUACGGUGAAUUCUCCUCUUUAUGUGGACACGGCUCCCUACGGCCUUAAGUAUGGAUCAGGAAAUUAUUCCAACUCUUCUCUUGUGAGUCAUUCGAAUUAUGUGGCUCUUGGGGGCAUGACUGCCUCGGAUUUGAUGGAACUGUGCAGCAUAGAGAAAAUAUUUUUGCUUCCAAAGAAGAGCUACACAUACAAGUCCUUUGAAGAAAUACACAGUGACCUGGCAUACGGGUUUGAGCUUUCAUGGUACAACAUCUACUGUGAAAAUUGCACAAGGGGUUGCUACAUCGACAGCUCAGACCGUCGUCAAUGCAUUAGCAGCUGUAUGUAACACUUGAUGAUUAAGUUGCAUCACUUUGAUUCAUAAGACCAUAUAUAACUUGUGAUUUGAGGUGGUUUCAUAUAUUUUCUCUGGCUUACUUUUCAAUUUUCCUUUUUUUCGGGCAUUAGCACAAUAUUGCACUGUCCCCAGAUCGAUGUUCAUGUACAAAUUCUGUGCAUCCAUUACCUGUGAAUUCUACUAUAGUGGACUGAUUAUGAGAUUCAUUCAUGUUCAUAUUGUAAAAUAUUCUGACUAUAAUGUGGUUGAAGGUAGUUGGACAGAUUCAUUGGUCUUUUGCAAUUUCAGGAUUGACACAGUGAAACGUUUGGUUCAUCUUAACUUGACCAUGGAUACACAUUAAUUAGUUCAAGGCACAUUAUUAAUUAAAUUGUGUGUGCUCUUAUCUAUUUUCUUUCGCAUUUACUGUUGCGUAUACCAUUAGAACUCUUUGUAAACCUAAAUUCUCGACAGAUUUUGGUGAAAGCUUCUGGGAAACACUACUCCUCGCAGUGAUAGGUGCGAAUUCUCUUUCUGCAUCUCACCUUGUUUGUGUAUUCUUAAGUGUUUCUUCAAACGACUUAUUUGUGAAAUAAGGAUUGUUGUUUCUUGAAUAGUAAUUGUAAUUUUGUUCACCAUUUUCUGCAGAUCCCCUUCUCUAUAUAUCCAUUUUAUUUGGUAAGAGAUUCCAUCAUUUCUUUAGUUUCGCAACAAAUUUCUAGUGGAGACAACAAAUAAGAUCACAAAACUUGAUUGUUUUCUGGAAAUUUCCUACACAGCACUGCUUCAUGGGCCAAAAGUUGUUUGUGGGACUCCAUGUGUGAUUAUAUUUUUGAUCUACAAAUUGCGAAGGAGACAUUUAUCAGCAUACGAUAUAGUUGAACAAUUCCUACAGGGUCAGAAUAACCUUAUGCCAGUAAGGUAUUCCUACUCAGAUAUCAAGAAGAUUACUAGAGGUUUCAAGGAGAAAUUAGGUGAAGGAGGCUUUGGUACAGUUUACAAAGGAAAGCUUCGCAGUGGGCAUUUUGCAGCAGUAAAAUUGUUGGGAAAAUCAAAAGCUAAUGGACAGGAUUUCAUAAAUGAAGUUGCUACCAUAGGAAGGAUUCACCAUACUAACGUGGUGCAGCUAAUUGGUUUUUGCGCUGAAGGAUCAAAGCGAGCUCUUGUAUAUGAUUUCAUGCCUAAUGGAUCUCUUGAUAAACACUUGUUUACUCGAGAAGGAUCAAUCUCUUUAAGCUGGCAAAAACUGCAUCAGAUUUCCCUUGGAGUGGCUCGUGGUAUCGACUAUCUUCAUUUAGGCUGUGACAUGCAAAUACUUCAUUUUGAUAUUAAGCCUCACAACAUUCUUCUUGACGAAAAUUUCAGUCCAAAAGUUUCUGACUUCGGGCUCGCUAGGUUGUACCCCACUAAUGGCAGCAUAACAUCUCUUACUGCAGCAAGGGGCACCAUAGGAUACAUGGCUCCUGAACUGUUCUACAAAAACAUUGGACGUGUCUCCUAUAAAGCUGAUGUUUAUAGCUUUGGAAUGCUGCUAUUGGAAAUGGCAGGCAAAAGGAAGAAUGUAAACGCAUUGGCAGAAAAUUCAAGUCAAAUCUACUGGCCAUAUUGGGUUCAUGACCAAGUAUCUGAUGGAAAGGCCAUAGAAAUCGGAGACGAUGCCACGGAGGAAGAACGUAAGAUCGUCAAGAAGAUGAUUAUGGUUGGAUUGUGGUGUAUACAAAUGAAACCCAUGGAGCGGCCUACAAUGAAGAAUGUUGUGGAGAUGCUUGAAGGAGAUUUGGAAAACUUGCAAUUGCCUCCUAAGCCUGUCUUCAAUCUAGAUGUGACGCCACCAAACAUUGAAGGAGAGUCAUCAUCGUUGUCAGGUGAUUCUACCGCAUCAACCAGUUUGAUUGAAAAUGCAUACUAAGUUAUAUGAUGUGGAAUGCUCUGCUUACAUGCAGGGAAAAUGAUAGAAUAAUGGUGCUUUCGGACUUGGUUGUGAUGAUUUAGUCUGCAACACAUUAUGAUAAUUUGCAAUACUUCCUUUUAUCUGAUUUGUGUUUAGCUAAUUUAGAGUUCAAGCUGCGGCUUGUUUCUUCG